UCAAAAAGAAAAAAAUCAGAAUAUUAAGAAUACCCUAAUUAUUUGGUCACCAAUGGUUAUGGUACUGCUGAAGUCUCUGUCAAUUGUACUAGCAGCAACUGUGAAUACCCAAGGAGCAACAUUAACAACACUUCCAGGGGUAGGUCCUUCAUUUCCCGCAGAUGCAACUAAUAAUAUAUUUCUAGCAAGUGCAUGAAAUGCACCUAUUGAAACCUCGUCGGUAAAAAUUUCUUCAGAAUUUGUACUAGAUGGGCCUCCAGCAGAAACAGAUAUUAUGUCAACACCAUCAUCAAUUGCUUGAUCAAUAGCAGAUAAUACAUCAGCACCAAAGCAACUAGCGGCAUCUGUUAGAGACCAGCACACUUUGUAGGUUGCAACUCUAGCUCUUGGUGAACCUCCUUUUAUGGUACCAUUUCCAAUGUUAAAUAUGCUUGCACCUGGUACGAAGUUUCCACCGGCUGUUGAUAGUGUAUGAGUACCGUGACCUACAAAGUCACGUGCUGUACGCUGCGAUGUGGGAAGUUUGCCAUUAUAUCGCUCAUAAGCAUCGCUGAAAAAUCUGGCUCCAAUUAGCUUCCUGAUAUGUAUAUGUAGUGCAGUUAAUCAACAGAAAUAUUGUUAGAGUAACUUCCUCUAUUGCCAUCAAUGUUGUUGCAACAACAUCAGACCGACCAGUUUAAUCGAUCAUCCAAUGCCGUCAAUAAUCUCCUUUUAAUAUAUUUUUUUACAGACGUUUUUAAUAUUAUUUAAACUUAAUGUGCAAUUUAAAAAGAAAAAUAGUACUAAGCAUAAUUGUAUAGUCAAAGAAAAUCAUAAAAAGGGAAGCAGGUUGAAAGAGAAACCUGUUACAAGGAACUUUCUUAGAACCUCUGAGUUUGUUAAUUUGACAGACAUUACCCCCACGCCAUUUUGCUGGAAUUGGGCCAAUUCCUCUGUCGCUAAAACUCCUUGAUUCCGGCCAAACACCUAAUCCAAACAGUAGGGUAAUACAUAUUUUGAAUAAUUAAGUCAUCUAAGUUUAAUUAAAUCAUUAAUAAAAAAGAAACAGAUCUUUCACAUGGAGAUUAUAAUAUUGAAUCUGUCAAUGUUAUCAUCUAUUUUAAUAAAAAUAAUUGAAAUUCUUUGACUCGUGAACUGUACUUGACUUAAUUAUUACCACGUGUAUGUAUUGUGAUAAAAUAAAAUAUAGUAUUUGGAUAACAAUGAUUAAGUCAAGAAAGCAUCUUGCCAACUCAAACAAAGCCUGUUGUUUUUGUCUAUUUUGAUAUCAAUUAAUUUCUCAAAUGAAUUACAAUAUUAAUCUGUUGCUUUUGGAAUAUAUAAAUUAAGAUCAUCUGUUAUGUGUUGAACAACAAAGAUGUAGAGAUGUGAAACAAGAUACAGGUGAGAUUGAUCCCACGAGCUACAGGACACAAAAACGAAAAUAUUUUUCUAAUUCAUUAAUAUGAACAGUGAGAUUUAUUAACUUUAAGUUUUAGAUUUGGUGUAAGUCACGUGAAAAUAUAGCCACCGAAGAUUGACCGGCAAAUGCAAGACAAAAAACAUAAAAACUGCAUGAAAAUCAAAGAAUUUUAUUUUAUAAACAAAAAAAAAAAAUUGUUGGUUUCUCUAAGUUAAUCUUGAAGAAUAGUGAUAAUCUAACAAGAAAUUAAAAGGAACAUGGGUGGAUUCGCAGGUUGAUUAAAAAUUAAUUUAUGAAUACCACUUAAAAAUUUAUCCAUGUGGUCAAUUUCUAUUAAUUUUUGAAAAUUUACACAAUUCUUCUAGGAUCAUACAUACCUCACCAGAAAUGAGAAUAUAAGAAAUAAACUAAAUUUGAAGAGAGAGAGAGAGAAAAAUUAAAUCCAUUUUUUUUAAAAGAAUAAGUCACCAAUUUCUGUUAUCAAUAAGAGAAACUUGAAACCUUAUACUUAAGACAUAAAUCUAAAAAAUAUAUCAAAAUCAAAUAUAGGAUCGAUGAUUCAUACACCAAUCCAAAGAAAGGUACACAAGGUUCCCUAUCCUAUCCCCUAUGACUGAUAUAUUUAUUUUUAUAUACAAAACCCUAUAAUUGACAAGAAAUAAGACAGUGUUAACAAAGAUAAAAAAGACAAAGAGAAUGCGGUGGCGGAGCCAGAAAAAAAUGUCAGAGUGGGCCACUAAAAUUAACUAUUGAAAAAUUGUUUAAAGUCUCGCAAAUUAGACCUGUAAUUGAUUUAUUUAAAUUUUUCGGGUGGGCCACUGCACCAAUUUGCGGGAAUUUGGAUCAACCGAAACCUAAAACCGACAUAAAAUUGUAUAAAAUCUCGCAAAAUAGACCUAUAAUUGAAUUAUUUAAAUUUUCGGGUGGACCACUACACCACUUUGCAGGAAUUUGGAUUAACCAAAACAUAAAACCGACACAAAAUUGCAUAAAAUCUCGUAAAAUAGACCUAUAAUCGUUGAUUUGGGCCCAGCCCAUGAAGGGCUCCGCCACUGAAGAGAAGGUGAGGUGAUAAGUUUUUGGUGUGAUGGAAAGACAGAUAAAAAUAAAAUGAAGUAUUGGUGGUAAUUAUUAUUAAAUAAACGAUUUUGAUUGGAUUAUAGAACAUUGAAUGUGGUAAAAUUAUAAAAUUUAGUACCUGUAUCAAUGUUAGCUAUGAUGGUAUUUUCACCAAACCUUCCCUUUUGCCAAGCUGAGUUGAUAUCAUUUCCAUGCAAUCCAAGAAAUUCCCAAGAACGUGUAGUGUGCAGUUUAUGCUCUUUGCUCAAGAACACAGACACCACCUUUGGGUUUUCUGCAUAUAUAUUGAAAAUAUCUUGUAGUGAGGUUUAAAAAUUAAAACAUUUAGAUAGAUCUACAAAAUUUGUUUUUCUGACUUGCAAGUUGUGCAGCUUCUUCCUCUUCAAGCAUAGCUGCAAAGCCAUUGAUCUGUUUAUUGUAAGAAUAAAUUAUUGCUUCUUUUGCCUCCUCUUUACUGUGAAUGAUCAGUAUACAAUAGUUAAUCAAUCAAUUUAAUUUCCUCUAAAGAAAAGCUUGAGCUGAAUAUUGUAGCAGUUAUUAUAUAUACCUUCCUACGAUUGAACCCAGUAAAUCAUAAUGAGAAGAUGUAGCAGUUUCAAGGUCAACAGAGGUAGGAGUUGGACCAUGUGAGUGCGCUCCCAUGUAAACAAUGUAGCACUGAAAAAGAAAAAAAAAAUAAUAGUAAAAAACCAAUAGCUUAUGAAAUUAAUGAAAGGAUCAUCUUAAUUACAAUGUACAUAUGUAAUUAAGAAGCAAAACUAGCUUACAUUUUUGCUGGCAUGAACAUGAUUCAGCAUCAAGAUGAAAAUAAGAAGUGAUGAGAAAAGAAGAUGAUGAAGAGAUAAAAUGUAGCGACCCAUUUUUCUGUCUAUGGAAAGUGGUUAGCUUAGCUUAGGGGAUCUAUGCUAAUUCAUUUCCUUAUGUAAUGAAAGGCACAAAUAUUUAUAGAGUUUUUCUAUCCGAUCAUUUGUAAAUUUACUUAUGGUAAAAAGUUCAAAAUUGUAAGUUUGUAUGAGAAAUUGUGUAUUUUAUAUCAAAUAUAUAAUUUUUUUAAUAAAUAGUUCUUGUUUUUUAAUAAAAAGUUACUACUUUUACUUAUUUUAACAUGUGCAAUGUUACAUGUGUUACUCAAACUUGUGCUUAUAUAUGAGAAUGGGAGAAAAGACAGCUCAAGAGUAUUCUUAUUCUUAGCUUUUUGGUAAGCUAAAUAAGAUAUUGUAUUAUAUAUAAAUAUAUAAUAGAAGACAGAUCAUAUCCUAAGUUAUCUAAAAAUUGUAACCAAUUUAGAUUGGUCAUCUUGGCUCCUUUAGAUGAAAAAAAUUUGGUUAGUAAAGACAAUUCACCUUGUUGACUUUAAGUUUUCCAAUGACUAACCACCAUUUAACAGCAAAGGAGGUUUAGUACCUGGCAGAUCAAAAAAUGAAGGGAACAGAAAACAGAGUAAAAAGAGGAGUGAUAUUUGAACAAUAAUCUGAAAUAAGUUUUGUGACAAAUUUUUUUUUAUUUGUCAAAAACAAUAGAGAGAAAUAAAAAAUAAAUAUAAAAACAUAAUGUAAGUAUGAGAGAGUUGUCACACAAUAUCUGUAUAAAUAUCAUUUCUCAAAAGACAAAACAGAAAUUCGCACCCCUUGCCACAUUCCUAAUUUGCAAUAGAGUGAAAAAUUUCACAUCAGUACCAACACCCUUUCAUACCAGCAGCUGAUUACAUACCUUACAUUCUUAAAGUUAGUAGUAGAUAAAUAUUAUCUACCCUUAAUUUAAAGUGUAUUAUACUUCCUCUACUUCAAAAAUUUAUUUAACCUUAUUUGUAAUCAGUAGUGCCUAAAUCUCAUUUCUUACAAUAAAUAAAUACAAGUUUUCGCUGAGACCAUAAUGCUUGUAUUAUUUUGGAUAUUGGAAUUCUUUUUUUGGAAAAUAGGUGUAUGAAGUGUUAGAGCAUCCACAACGGAAUCAUAUAUCUUUUGGUACUUAAGUACGACUUACAGCUUAUACAUUAUUCAUUUAUAAUUUUCUAACAGUUGUAUCUAAUAAAUACUCAUUUUCUUCAAUUCAACACUUUACACAAAUUUCGUAAACAAAAUUCAUUAAUCGUCAAUAACUCUAUCAUUAUAUUUUAAUAUUCUGAUAUUAAAAAAAACACGGAUCCUCUAAAAACUUGUUCCUCACUUGCUUGGCGUCCAUUUCACUUAAAUGAGGAGUCACAUAGGUUUCGACCAACUCAAAAUUGAACGUUGCAAAAGGGAAAAAAGUUAGGGGAAUGUUGUUUUUUUAAUAGGAGCCGAACUCAUAACUAGUGGAAAGUUAGGGGAACAAAAGUGUGUUUAAACCUAUUAUUUAAAAACGUCCUCUCCCUUUGAAUAUUGUUUUAAUUGCUUCAUUUUUAGCUUCUCAUGAAUUUUUAAUUUUAAGCUUCAUGUUGCUUCAUUUUAUUUCCAUUGCUCUUGUCAAAUGAAUAUUUUUUAAUUCCAAAAAAAGGAUUGUUGCUCUUUGUUUCAUAUUUGCAUUCUCGGCUAUAACUUUUGCAAUUCAUUGUUUGCUAACCAUAAUAUUCUAUCUUCAUCUUUCGACAAAUAAACAAUUUAAACGAGGAAAACAAAUAGAUUAAAGAAAUUAAAGCAUAUAAGAUCAAGAAUUCCAUAUCUAUGUUGGAUCUUGAAGGAUUUUUGGUAUGUUGGUUUUUGAAUAUUUUUGGUGAUAAGAUUAGAUGUUGUUGUUGAUGAUGGUGUGGUGAUGGGAUGCUGUUGUAAUUCUUUUUUCUGAGUUGUGGUGGUAAUGGUGGUGGCGUAUGAUUUUUUGCAGGUUAUGGUGGCGGUGUUGGAUUUUUUUCUUUCUUUUGGGUUAUGUUCUUUUAUUUUUCUGGACUUUUGUCCUUGAACUUGAUAAAUAAGGUAUGAAGUCCAUAUGAAAUCAAGAAGAAAUAGAAGGAAUUAGAUAAAGAAAAGUUGUGUUGAUGGUUCACUAUUAGAUUCAAUGAUCUUGCAAGGUUCAAUAGUCUACUUUGUUUUAGAAUGAUCAAAAUGUUAAAAUUAAAUAAAUUAAUAAGUUCUACGGUAUACCACCUAAAAUGUUGAUCAACCCUAGGCAUUUUAGGUUAAAAUUGACAAAAUGAGACCAAAUUAACAAAUAAAGAUGAAAUUGAGGGAUUAAAAUGGAACUUCUCCAGUCAAACUCUAUUACAAAAAUGUUGAUGUGGAAAAUUUGAUGUUGAAGCGCCGCUUCAGCCAGCAAAUUGUAUUUCUUCUUAAUUAUAAAAAAUUAUCUUCUUCAUUUGUUCAUUAAUCUUCUUCAUCAUCACCAUUUACCCAAAUCUCACCCCUUUUCAUUAAAAACCCUUUUCAACCCAUUUGUUAUAAUUUCAUAGAAGAGAAAAUAGAAAAAUAAGCAAACAAAAAGAGAAAUAGAAGGGAAUCGGAAACACUAGAUCUCAAUAUCGACCAAACAAUAAUAAAAAACACAACAAACACCCAUCAAGAUGAUUUCACCAAUAUCGAUUCAAGUUUCAUAGAAAACACCGAAGACAAAAUGAAAGAAAUUGCUUCAGUUCUUCCAAAAAUGGUCAAGGAAUAUCACAAGAUUCAUCUCAACACAUUUCGUUAAUAUAAAUAAGAAGAUAAUAGCUUUUUAAUUUUUUUUGGAUUUGAGUUUUUUUCUUCUGGAUUUUCUUCCUUGUUUGCCCUUCAUGUCUUCUUCCUUCAGCAAGGUGAUGUUAAGCUUCAAAACCAUUCCCCCUAUUCUUCACUUGUGUCUCUUCUUCUCUUUGAAUUCUCUAUUUUUCUUAGUUCUCGUGAUUUGAUUUUUACCUUUAUUGUUUUUCUAUGAAGUUGUUCUUCUGCUACUUGAAAGAUUUUGCGGGAAGAGAAAUGACGGUAGAACUCAAGAAUGAUUUAGCCAUCAAAGGAUUAAGUUGUUAGAUUUUGAAACUCUAAUAAUUUUAAUUUGGGAUUGUUAGAUUAUGAAACUCUAAGGUCCUGUUUGAAUCACUUUUGAUUUUUCCAUGUUUUUGGUUUUUAAAACAGAAAAAGUGAAAAGCAAACCAGCAUUUAUCUGUUUUUGUUUUUUCUGUGUUUUUGGUUUUUAAAAACAGCAAAAGUGAAAAUAGUUUUCAAAACCUAUUUUGCAAAACAAUCAAUUCAAACAAGUUUUCAAUUUUUUAGUUUUUGAAAACAGAAAACAGUUUUUAAAAAUUGUGAUCAAACAGACCCUAAGAAUUUAAUUAUGAACCUUGGUAGUGUUAGGUUUUGAAAAUGAAAAGAGAUGUUGAAUUUUUUUUAUUUUUUUUUGGUUUGAAUGUGGAGAUGAUCACUUUUUUGGAUUUGAAGAUGAAGAUGGAAGAAAGAGGAUGAAGAUGGUAUGAUGGUGGAAGGAAGAAGAUGAAGAUUGAUGAGUUUGUCGAGGUUGAAUAAAAAUAUUACUUUUUCUGUUGACUAGAACCUUCCACUUCAGCAUCAAAUUUACCUCUUGAUGACCACAUCAUCGUUUUUCAACGAAGACUGACUGUAGGGGAAAGGUGCAAUCAAUUAACAACUUAGCAAACCUAUUUGAAACUUAAAAAACUUAAAGGACUAACCUGAUAUUUUUGUUGAUCUUAAAGGGCCCACAAAGGUAUUUGGCCUAUCAGUAUUUAUUAAGUUUUAUUUAAAUGGCUAAAAUGGAUUAUAUUAACUAAAUCAAACAAGAUUUUUCCACCAAAGGCAGUAUCAACAAAGACUAAAAGUGUCAUUAUAAUGUUACAUACAAAAUCGAAAAAACAACCAAGAAAGAAAAGAAACAGUUAGGAGAUAGGUUUCAAACACGGGAGAGUAGUGUAUCUUGCUUUCAAUCACUAGGGUUAAGCCACCAGUUAUGCUAAUGGUAAACGGAAGUAGUGUAUCUCGCUUUCAAUCACCAACAAGACUAAAGCUUAAUUUUUUUCAUAUAAAAUAUGCAUAUUUUCCUCCCGCCAUGUGCUGAAAUAUGCGUAUGUUUCUUUCUUUUCAGGUAACCCACACAGAAGAGAGCGUCAAAUAAUCUUCAAACUAAAUUGAUCCUGCUUAAAAAAAAAAAACACCUAAACAUAAAAAAUGUUCAAGAUGUUCCGAAGUGUCGUCACGAUUCACUAUAACAACGCCUAACCAAUUUGAAACAUAGGACCAAAUUCGGUCAAAAUGAUCACAUCUUACAAAUAAUUGAUCCACAUCUUCAUUCAUACCACAACCUCCUAUACACCUUUGAUCAUUAUGAUGAAGCACCCAUCUCCAAACUAAAUCAGAUUUAGUUGAAAAACGGCUGAGAAGCAGACGCCAAGCGAAGAGACUAAUUUUAAGGGGAUCCACUUUGAUCAAAAUAAUAUUAGAAUUAACAAAUUGAAUUUUAUUAUUCACAACGCGAUGUCAAGAAUUAAUAAGCACUACUGGUAGAAAAAUGUUUCGACUGACGUAACUGUCAGACCCACCUAUUUUUCGAACCAUUCUGCAAAACAAUAGAUGUUAACAUUUCACUGCAUUCCCAACUCAUCUGCUCUUCCACACAAGCUAACAACCUCUUUCUCCACUUCCACACCUCUCCCUGGACCCCAACCCUAACAAGAACAUCUCCGCCACAAUCACCAGUUUAUUAAGUUUAAAAAUACGGUCUCUAAAUAUAUUUUUUGUUUCUCCUCUCAAUUUUCUUUGUUUCUAUCUCCUUUGUUUCUUAUACACAACAACUACUACAUUUUAUUUAUCUUUUACUAGACGAAGAGAAGUGUUAGGCUUUUUUCUGGAUGAUAAAAUAGUAAAUUGUUAGGUAUAUGUGAACCAAAUGACAUGAUAUAAUCUAUAUUUUGAGGGGGACAUCAUAUAAUCUAUUAGAAAUUAUAUCUAAUGAUGUAUCAUUUUAAUAAUUGGUUAACAAAGACUAUUGACCUGUCACAAAAUGGAUAUUCAGCAUCUCUCAUAAAAUUAUACCAAAUAUGUAUGAUAUACAAGAGUUAUUCAAAAUCAAGGAAAAAAUGAUGUAAAACCUCCGAAUCAGAAAAUGAAUGGCAUAGAAAACAGAAGAUAAAACAAAAUUGAACUCCUUGCCACAUAUUAAUAAUCUGCAGCAGGUUGGAAAAUUUCACAUCAAUCCCAAUACCCGUUCAUACUAGCAGCUGAUUACAUUACAUGCUUGAAAUUAGUAGUAAAUAAAAUAUUACUAGCUGUUAAUUUAAUGGUGUAUUACACUUCCUCGCCUAUAUCUUGAAAAGAGAUCCUACUAAUGUGAAGUAAUUUGAUCAGAAGAUAAUUAUGUCUGACCAAGAAUUGCUCCCAUCAAUAAUCAAACUCGGAUUCUCCUGAACGAUUAAUUUUAGAGAGAGUUCAUUAACCACUUGAGUCCAAUCACUUGAUUUAAAUAUCAUUUCUUGAUAAACACGAGUUCUCACCAAGACUCUAAAUAUGUGUAUGAGUUUGCAUAAUAGUAUAAUUUUUCUUUCAAAAAUACGGAUAUGAAGAAAGUCCUAUAGUUCCUACUAAGAUCAUACUAAUUGUAAUCAGGCCCGUUCCUAGAGUUUUAUGGGCCUUAGGCAUAAUAUGAAAAAAGGGCCCUUACAUAAUGCAUCAUAAUUUUUUUAGCGCAUUGUUGUGUUUUUUUGCUUUUCAUUUCGUUUUUUUAUUUUGCUUUUCACUACAAAAUAAAUGUUUUUUUUAAACAACAUCUGAAAAUAAAUUAAAUAUUCUAUAUACACCGAAACAAAAUAAAAAUACCGUAGAAGUAGAGAAAAAUAGCACAUGUGAAGUAGACUGAAAUUUUAACACCUUAUUUUCAACUAAAAUAGAAUUUGCUUUGUUACGAAAAUUAUCCCAAUUUCUUGGAUAAUAAAUAUCGUCGAUAUUUUUAAUAUUAGUGAAGUACAUUAUUAGGAGCAAAGUGCCCAAAAAAAUAUCACAAAUUUCUUCGAUAAUAAAUUUUUGAGCAUAUUAUCAAGAACAACCAAAAUUUUUUAUAGGAGUGUGUAUAUAGAAAAUUUUGUGUUACAUGGGAUAUAUAUAUAGCAAAUCUCACUAAAAGGGCCAAAAAUACUAACAGAUAUCAACCCAUUCCUUUAUCAUGUCAAUGUUUGGGCCUUUAAAGAGAAUGUUUCUAUAUAUACCCUCCAAAAUCCAAAUAUUUCUAUAUACACCCCUUACCUUAAAAAAAAAAAAUUGGGCCCCCUACCGGGAUGGGCCCUAGGCCGUCGCACUCGCGGCCUAUGCCUAGGGCCGGCCCUGAUUGUAAUUACGAAUAACUAAUGCUCUAUAUUUUGAGUCUGCGUUGUGAUGGUUUUGCUAUUGAUGAACUAUUAGAAAAUAUGCUUUCAAGUUUUAUAAUGAGAUAAUUCUUUGAGAGUUAUGGACAAUAAAGAUAAUUUUUUAAAGUAAACUACAUUUACAAUAGAAAAAUGAGAGAAAAUAUACAAAAAAAAUAAUUAUUUUGAAUUCAUUAUAAACUUGCAUAAUUUGAAAACUGAAAUUAUAGUUCUUGGUUUUUUAUUUUAUUUUACAUUAAUUAUAAACUAGUCUGACUCAACUCGCACAACUCUCCGGUCAAUUGAUGAUGCUAAUAGAAUGAAUCAACACUCUUAGAGGCUCUAUCUCGGGAUUGAAAAAAAAAAGUUUUUGUUGAAAACAUUGGGAGCAAUGAUGAUAUCUUGGUUGCUCAUUGUUAUAAUCAUGUUUUUUUUUUAAACUAAAGGUAUCUUCCGCACGCAACCGUAAAAAUUAAUCCCCUCGAAGUAUUGAGAUCCAUUUGAAAAGUUGACAUAUCCUAACAAAUAUUUUUCCACGCAUCAUACAUGAAUCAAACUCUGAACCAAAUAAUUAAAGGAUCCAAAUAUCUACCACUCAUGGCAAUGCACUAUAUUAUCAAGGUUUACUUAAGUCGUCCUAAAAUAUAUAAAAAAAAUGAAUAAAAAUAGAACGUACAUAUGUUUUAUUUCUAAUACAAGAUCUAGCUAGGGACGAUUCUCAUAAUACUCUUUAAUAUAGUUUUAUUAUUCUUGUUUUCUUUUUCCUGGAUUAGGUUUUUCCCCUUGGUUUUUUCAUUGAGUUUGUAAAUAUUUAGCUUAUUAAAAAAAUAGUCGUUUUCAUUUAUUAUAAUUAUAAGUUUAUAGUUUGAUUGCUAUUUAUCCAUGUAAAUGUAUUUAGUUUUGUUUUUCAUCUGUACCAGCAACUACCGAUUGGAUGCUGAUGUGGCACAUAAAUCUUAUGUACAUGUCAUGUAUGCAUGUCAUGUGGCUUUCUGUUUGCCACCCCAAACAAAAUAUAUUGAAACUUUUUUUUUUAGGGAAAAAUAUAUGGAAAUAUAUUGUUAGGAACUAAAAGAAUGGAAAUUUUCUCCUAAAAAAAGCAGUUAAAAUUUUGAAUUAGAAAACAUAACAUAAAAAAAUAUUGGAAGGAAAAAAAUCAAAUAAAUAUUCAUGCUACGAGGCCUAAAUGCGCAAUUAUUUAAUAAAUAAUUUAGCAUGAAUUUAUCAUUAUUUACCAAGUCUAAAAACAGUAUUUUUUUUAAUGUACUUUUAUUUGUUUCAAUCUCUAUAAUUUCUUAUUCACAACAAUAAAACUAUAUAUAUUUUGUUUAUUUAUCUUUUAAUACCCCAAGUGGAUUGUUAGUCUUCAUUUCGGUUGUUAAAUAUGUGAUUGUUUGGCAUAUGUGAAUCAAAUGACACUUUCUAAUCUAUCUUUUUUUUUUUUUUUUUUUGAAGGAACUGUCUAAUCUAUCUAAAUAGCGACAUAUACCAUUUUAAACAUAAACUUUAAGGUUCAAUUCAAUCAAUAUUUUUUAUCCAAUGAAGGAAAUUGUUUAUAUUGACUUAAAGGUUUUAGGUUUUAUUGUUGGUCUUCUUCCACAGCAUAAACCAUUUUGCCCUCUUCCAUCUAAUUUUCCUUUCCAAUUGACGCUUUUAUGUAUUUGUAAUAUUGAACUUACCCUCUUCAUAAAUUUUAUUGUUCAAUAUUCAUUCAUCAAAAUAAUGAAAGUUUUCUAAUUAUAUGUAAGAGAAAUGUGAGUAACUUAAUUAAAACAUCUUCGAUGGAGAAUUUUUGAAAUGGGUUUUUAAGUGGAUUUUAUCUAUACACAUCACUCAUUAAACAACAUUUGCUAAUAGUCAAAGAAACACGAGAUGCUCUUAAUAACCUACUCUUUUAUUUUUUUAUUUUUUUUAAAAAGACAAACAACUAUUUAAUUAAUGCAAACAAAAUGACAGCAACACCAACCACAGUUAAAUCAUGCCCCGUGCAAGGUUCUAAAAAAUGGAUCGUUAGGGAUAUCGGCUGGUACAAAACAGUCACGGAAGCCACCGAUACCGUAAUUGGGUGUUUUCAAGGAGUAAACAAAAAUCACAGGAAAGACGUCCUUACGGCCGCGACAAAACACCAUUACUAUCGCGAAACGUCGUUACGGCCACAAACUUCUCAGCUUUUUUCUUUGCAAUUUCGUUGUUACUUUUGCUUCCUCUUUGAUUCAAUUCAGCCAGCUUCAUCCUUUGUUCUUUCUAACACCAUAUCUCACCUCCGCUCCUAAAUUGGCAUAAUAAAUCUGUCUCACUCAUAUAUUAUCAGUUUAUGUUGUAGAUACAUUCACGCUCUGAAAAUUGAGAGAUAAAAUUCGGGUUUUACAUGAGAGCUGAGAUCAAGAGAUGAGUUUAACUGUGUGUUUGUGAAAUUGUGGGUGGAGGGAUUAUAGACGAGGGUGACGGACCACUAACGAAUGAUGCAGGUCAGAUACUUACAUAACACAAAUCCUAACGUUUAUUUGAAUAAAACAAACAGAAAGGACUAAAUGUAGUAACGGUGAGAAACUUAGAGGACCGAAAUAAAUCAAUUUUUAAUUGGAGGACCAAUCCAAUACCAAUUAAAUAGUUAGAGGACCAAAAAGAUAAUUAAGCCUUCAUUUUAUUAUUAUAUUUAUAUUAUAUUGGCUAAAAAUUGUGAUUGUCUACUUUUUAUUCUUAAAGAAAUAUAGAUACUCCUUUUAUGGGAAAAUGUUUUUUCCAGUUAAGCAAAUGCAUCACAAACGUUUCCCAACAGAGACACAGUUGGCAACUUUUAAUUGCAUUGUAGAAAAAAAUUAGCAAUUUGUGAGAUGUAAAUUUGUGACAAUAAGGUGAGAGCAUAUAAAAUAAAUAAUAUUAAAAAAUAGUCAUUAUCUUCAUAUUAAGACGGAUAAUCCGACCAAUAAUCUGAAUUUGAUCCAUGUUUCAUAUUUUUGUCUUGUUUUUUUAUCUGAUCAGAUCCUAUCCAUUGCGUUCAAUCAAGACAGGUUGUAAGAUUGAGUCAUAUUUUAUACACCCCUAAUAUUUUGACACAUAUAUUCAAAAUUUUAAAAAUUAGUUAUAUGAAUCAUAUAUAUGUACUUGAAUCUCAUGGGUUCUUAAGUUAUCAAACUCCUAAUACUUUGCUAAAACACAUGGCUACUGGACCAAUAAGUUUAAAGUUUGUUGCUGCUAUAUGGUGGAUAUGGCGCUGGAGGAACAACAUUGUAUUGGGUGAUAAAACUUGGAAAGCUAGUGAUGUGAUCCGACAAAUUAACCUCAUGGUUGAGGAUAUGGUUUUGUUAUCUACAAUUGAUUCAUGUGCAGCUAAUAAUAGAAGCAAGGUCAAAUGGAAAGCUCCCCCAUCGGGUAAUUUAAACUUAAUGAGGAUGGAAGUUGUGACCAAAGUGGUGUCAUCGGUUCAGGAGGAUUGAUUCGAGACGCUACAGGAAAUUGGGUGGUAGGAUUCUCAUCUAAUGAUGGUUGUGGUGAUGCGCUUAUUGCUGAGUUGUUUGGAAUUUAUAACGGUUUGGUCUUGUUGAUAAACAAUUCGGUCUUGCAUGUUGAGUGUGAGACAAACUCCACUGAGAUCAUAAACCUACUUAUGGACAGACAAUCUCACUCAUUCCAUGCUUAUGCUUCUUUACUAGCUAAAAUAACAAGUUUGUUGGAUCAUCUUCCAUGUUUGGUGUUCAAACAUGUGCUCCGUGAAGGCAAUGUAUGUGCAGACUUUUUGGAUAGGUUGGGGAGGAACUCUACUCUUGGAGUAACAACUUGGGUGACACCUCCUGAUGAGCUGCUCUCGUUGCUCAACUUUGAUGCUUUCGAUUUCUAGUUAGCUUUUGUUUUUUGUUUUUUUAUGACCUUCACCAAUAUAUAUAUAUAUAUAUAUAUAUAUAUAGGGGUUGUAUCAAGUGAGAUGACAUUUUAUAAUGAGAGGGUGAGAGGAUAAAAUAAUGACCCUUAGAUUAAAUUAGAUGGCUGUGAUUAAAUGUUACUUCUAUGACUCGUAUGAUACUCUCUUUUCCCUAUCCCCAGCUGAAACUGAAACGUUUGCUUCCUUCUCCUUGUAUUCAUCGUGACCCUCUCCUCUCAAUAGGUUUCUGAAACAUCAGCUUCCUUCUCCCUGUAUCCAUGGCUUCUCUCUUGCGCUCAGAUUCUUUCUUUAUUGUCACUCUCCUCUUGAUCUUCGUUUGGAAAAAGAUGCAUAGAUUAUAUUUUAGCAACAUGGACUGGUAAUAUAGAGGAAAAAAGCGCAGAGAAUAAAGGAUCCCUUUUGAAAACCAUGACUCCGCCGUAACAGCGUCGUAUCCUCCGACAACCGUUUUUUCGCCGUCGCCAAAGCAUUCACCAAACGUUUCCCUUUCGCCGGUAACCACGACGGAAUAAUCAGGGAUUGCACCUUAAAAUACUUACUGGAAGCUUUACAUUUAUGGCUUGUUAAAAGAAGAUUCACGUUAAUGGUGGAAUGUUCUCAAACAAGAUUAUCCAAUUUUUCUAAAAAUUAAAAUUAAUGGUAAAUUGCUGAAUUUUAGUGUUGAUUAAUUAUUUUUUUCACGUGUUAAUUAAGGGUAUUAUUUUUUGUUGAGAUGGAAAGGCCUGAGAAUAACGUGAAGAAAAUCACAUGAAAUGAGAGCAACAGGAGAGAGAGAAGACGAAGUGGAGAACAGGAAAGAUAGGUUACGGUAUGUGACCCUCUUGGAAGAACAAUUAACUCUAAGGCGUUGAUUUUGAUCUAACGGUCUAAAUUAAUUCCUCUCAUUAUAAAAUGUCCUCUCAUUUGAUACAUCCCAUAUAUGGGAUAUAUAUAUAUAUAUAUAUAUAUAUAUAUAUAUAUUUUGGUCAAGUAGUCUAGUGGCUAGAGCUCACACAAUUUAAUUGUGGAGAAGUGGAGUGUCCGGGGUUCGAACCGCGGCCCCUGCGUAUAAAGUGUAAUAUCCCUACCAACUGAGUUAAGCUCACGGGGAUUAUGAAUCACAUAUUUUAAUUCAUUCGACAUGAGUUUAACAUUUUCUUUUUAACAAAUUAAAAUGCAAUAUAUUGAUACCGACGGCCUAUCUCUCGAGCAAAAGGUGUGCCAAAGAGAAUAUAGUCCAAUAACUAAAAGGUGUGCCAAAGAGAAUAUAGUCCAAUAAUUACAUGUUAGCCAUCACCCAAAACAUAAAAAUGGAUUCCGACAUCAUUUAUGAAAUUUAUAAUGAUAAGCCACAAAUUGAGCCUUAUACCAUCAAAAGGAAAGAAGUUUGAUGUUCUCCAAAAGCUAAUAAGGAGUACUUUACUGAGCAUUGCAGAAAAUUAUGUUUUCCCUUUAUACAUACCAAGGCCGUCCCAACAACUCGAAGGCUCGGUUAUAUAAACUUGACAAUUUUCAUUUAAAAAAUGUUAAAAAUCAAAGUCCAACACUGCUUCUGAUGACAAACAACUAAGUUGUAGUUAAAUAUAAUGAACAAUAGUAAACACACGAUUUUUACCUACAAACAAAUAGACAUUUUCCUAUGAACAAUGCAUAAUUGACAACAAAAUUGUUGUCUUCCAGACUUUUAUCCACCAAAAAAAUAAUAUUUAAUGACAGGUUUUGUCAUACACGUUUUUUUUAAUUGAGGCACAUCUAAGUUUGAGGUACAAGUUUCAAAAAUUUAAAGCGCCUCUGACGUCUUAUGCCACGUGGCCUUGUUGCGCUCGCACAAGACAGAACAUGUUAUAUAACUAGUGUAACGCCCCGUGCCAACCACGAGAUACAUUUUAUUUAUAAUUUUUUAACAAGGUUUACACAUAAAUAAGUUUUUUUAGAUAUUAUUUGACUUUUUUAGUUUGAUUUCAUUCAGAAUUUCAAUAUUAUGUAGUACUAUCUUCAUAUUUAAAAUUGAGACAGAGUUGGCAGGGACAUGUCAACUUUGCUUAAAAUAGUGAGAAAAAGUACAACUACGAUGUACCUGUAACAACCCGAUUUUUACGAUGUUGCUUAAAAAUAUAUCUAAUUAAUAAGAGGUAUGAUUACCUCUGUUAUAAUCUACCAUUAUGGCUCUGCCUCCUUUUUUCCGAAACGUUCAUCACUUACGAUGUACCUGUAACAGCCCGAUUUUUAGCUAGAUUUAUUUUUAGGGUUAAUAGUGUUUUUCACCCCUGUAAUAUAUGUCAUUUCUGGUUUUCGCCCCUAUAAAAUUUUCGGUUUGAUUUGCACCCUGGUAAAAUUGUUAUUUUUCGGAAAACACCCUUAAUAGGUCAUUCAAAAACCAAAAUUUCUUGAAAAAAAAUUUUGAAAAUGGCCUAUUAGGGGUGUUUUCCGGAAAAUAAAAUUUUUACGAGGGUGAAAAUCAAACCGAAAAUUUUAUAGGGGCGAAAACCAGAAAUGACAUAUAUUACAGGGGUGAAAAACACUAUUAACCCUUUAUUUUAAUUACUUUUAUUAUAUGUUUAUAUGUAUUUGUGUGUGAUUAUUCAUCAUUGAGUGCAUUUUUCAUGGAUUUCCGUGUUAAAAGUGUAUUUUAAUCAUUUUAAACUUAAGGGUAUUUUAAUCAUUUUAAAAUAUUUUAAUCUCUCUAUUGUAGAUGCUCUUAUACCAAUAUUUAAAUCAAUCUAAUGGAGAAAUAAAUCCCCAUAUUAUGUGUGGGGACCGCUUCAUUUAAAAAAGAAGAGAAUUGAAUAACAUAACCACUCAAAGAGUAUCAUUAAGCUCCCGUCCAAUAAUAUUCAUCGGAUAAUGUUUUAAUUUUUUGGGUCAAUGGUGUUUUACCCCCUGUAAAUUUUUUUUUUUUUGGAAUACCCCCUUGUUAUCAUGGUUUUUGGGUGCCAAGCCAUUAAUUGGACUUGAACCUUUUGACCGUUGAUAUCUCUCUUUUUUCUUGGGAAGGGUAAAAGGAGAAAAACCCUUAAAAAGUUCUAGAUUCGGGGGUCGUUUUCGCUACGGGAAGGUGUUAGGCACCCGGAGCGAUUAUGGUAUUCCAUAAGAACCGCUUUCCUAAGUUGAUUUCUACGCUUUAGUUUUAUUGCUAUUUUGUAAAAAAAAGGAGGUGUGAUUAGUUAAGAAUGGGGGUGAGAAGAAGUAGAAUUUUGAUUUUAUUUCGGCUUGGAGGAGUUUUGACUCAUUGCCUACGUACCCUUUUAAGGGAUCAAAACCGAUCGUAGUUCAUUCUCAAAAAUGGUUUUUUGUUUUUGUUGGUUGAUUUUAAGUUUGAAAAGAGAUUUUGAAGAAUAGAGAUGAGAGGCCUCAAGGGCAUAAGAUUUGGAAAGUGUGAGGUGGAAUUAGUCAUUUUGCAAAAAUAAAGUCCAAGGAGGAUUAAGGUUUAUUGAAAAUUUUACUUAAGAAAAAAAAUAAAAGGGAAAUAAGGAGUUUUGACUCCUAUUUUAUUUUCAAAAAGGUUUUCAAGUGAGAUUAUUUGCAUGUUUUGGAAAAAGGUUGAUUUUUUCUAAGUGUUUAAACCUAAGCGCUUAUCGAACCAUACAAUCCUAUGCAUACAUCUAAGGUGAGUGUGUGCGUGCCGGUGCGUCAUAGUGUACAUAGUCCAUAUUACAACAUUGCCUAAAUACAUUCUAUGGCCUCUUUGCCAAGCUACAAACCAAUGGUAAAAUAUUACAUCACCGAAUGAAUUACAAUUUGUAAAAAAAAGAAAACUAAACUAACGGAGACAAUAGUGAAGAUAAUGAAGUGCUAUGAAGUGAUCAACAUGAAAGGAAAUGUUAGUAGAAAAUGGUAAAAAAAGAAUAUGGCAUAAAGCGAUAGAAGAAAGUAUGGCAUAAGACGGUAAAGUGACGAUGAAAAUAAGCCGGAAACAUGUGAUGAAUAAUGCGCAUGAUGCAAGAAUAAAACUCAACACAUCAAAACAGUGACAUAUGCAUAGCAAACAGUAGCAAAAUUCACAUGGAAUAGUAUGCAAAUCAAACAUGACGAACACGAACAUUAUGUACAUGAAGUAACGGGUAGAAAUGCGAGAAAAAUGACUUAAAAUAGUAAAAACCCUUGACAAAACAACACUAAAAUUUUUAUCAACUUUUCCAAGUAAAAUACCACUGAAAAUUAUCAAGAAAAAUAGUAAAAUGACAUAGUAAAUUUCUUGGAAUUUAUUGAUAAAAAUUAACAUGAACAGAGGGUGCAAACAGUAGGCAAGUAUGGUGCAAGUAGCAAAAAAAGCAAAAAACGUGAAAGAAAACUAAGCCCAAACCCAAAGCCCACACUCAAAACUCAGAUUGCACAGGAGCCACACGAUUGAUCUAGGAUUCUGAAACCCUAGAUCAAACGGCCAGGAACAAGGGGGACUGGACCGGAAAUAAACCGGUCCGGUUCACUGGCUAUACAAAGGGGGAAAUCCGGUUUUUUCCUCAUUCUCUUCCUCUCCUUCUCUCUCUUCUCUCAUCCUAGUGAGAGAAGCUCCCACUUCUCUCUUCCCUCUCUCGCCGGAAACCUCAAGGAGGAAGAUGAGUUUCACGUGUUUACCUGUGAUUUUUGACUGGAGAUUUUGAACAAGAUCUUCGGAAAACUUGAUUGUUGGUGCGGUUUGUUGAUUCUCUGGCUUGGAUCCGAAAAUAAAUCGGUUCUUCUUUCUUUCUCUUUGCUGGUCCGAAUCGGUUCUUUCCCUCUUCUUCUCAAACUUUCGGAUCCUUCGCGAUCGUGCUUGGAUUCGUUGCUAUUGGUGACGGAUCCGCACCAGAAUUGUGAAGGAUUCGGUUCGAUGAUGAUGAUUCUCCAAUGAAUCACUGAGAACUGUGAUCUGGAAAAUUUUCUAGGGUUUUUGUUCUUGGUGUUCUUCUAUGAUUUUUCUGUUUUGAUCUGUAACUGAAUGGAGAGAGAAAAGAAAUCUGUUUGUGAUGAAUUUCUGACUUUUUUUUUUUUGACUGUGCAUUGAAUGCGCCUUUUAUAGGCUGCCAUGUGUGCAUUGGGACCAAUAGGAAAUUGACACCUGGACCUGGAGAAGAAAUGGCACGGCUUGGAAAAAAAAAUGAAAUUUGGACCUUUCUGCAAAAAACAAAAAAUUUGAGGACUAAACCGCAAAAUUAAUAAAAUAAUAAAAAAACCUGAAAUGAAAUUAAACUGUUUGGACAAAAAUGCAAUUUUGGGACCUCAAUUGAGGGACCAAAAUGCAAUUAAAAAUAAAAUUGAGUAAAAAACGUAAUUUGACCAAACGUAAAGCGAAACAAAAAAAUAAAAUUGACAAAACGGACUAAAACGAACCAAUGGCCUAAAUGAGGUACUUCACAGUAACCUCCCUAUGCCAAAAUUUUGUGUGAAAUGACCAAAAUGCCCCUAGGGCUAAAAACGACCUAAACAGAUUGAAAUUGACUUGACACUGACUCAGACGCAAGUUUGAAAUGAAUUUUAACAAGGUUUACUGAUGAAAUAUUUAAAAAUAAUCUGAAAAGACUCAGAGACAGUCACAAGGAUGAAAAUGGGUCCCACUGCAGGAAAUGACCAAAAUACCCUUCUGUAUGACUUUUUGCAAAUUUUGAAAUAAACUGUGGUAAAAGCAAUGUAAUGAUCCGGAGACACUUUUGAAUGACUUAUAAGACAAGUAAAGAUAUUUCAAAAGGUUUUAUGCAAGAAAAACAUAGCUAAAAUUGUGAUUGGAAAUACUGCGAGGCAGAGACAAUUUGAACUGUGCAGUUGAAAUUUGAUAAUUGAUAAAUUUUGAAAUGAAAUUGGGCCCAGUAUUUUUAGGUCCAAAAACAGGGUAUAACAGCUGCCCCUAUUUAAGUUUCUUUGUCUGGAGAGUCAAGAGACGGAGUCUUUGGCUUGACAGGACGAAGAUACUUAAAUAUUAGCAUUUGCACUGUGUUUGGACGUAAAAAAUACGCCUACCCAUUUUCAAAUAAUAUGCAUGCCAUGCAUCAUUUGGAUUAUGAAUGCAAGACCUCAUGGGGAUUGGAAUUAACAAAAUAUGUCGCAUCCAUUGCGGGAUUGGUAGACAUUGACAAAGAUAGUGAAUAGCAGAGUAACGGGAAACUAGAAACAAGUUGGACAGGUAUAAGUUGUUCUUGGAUUCAAACUAGCCACUUGACCGGGGAUGAGACAAACAGACAACUGCGAGUUGUUCUUAUGGAUUCGAACUGGUCACUCCACAGGGGAUAGAGGUUACUGGACAAACAUGAGUUGUUCUUAUGGAUUCGAACUGGUAACUCACUUGGGGAUAUUGGAAAGUGCGAGUUGUUCUUAUGGAUUCGAACUGAUGACUCGACUGGGAAAAAGAGAAAAUUGGCAAGUACGAGUUGUUCUUAAGGAUUCGAACUGGUCACUCGACUGAAAGCAAGGCAAACAGACAGGUGCGAGCUUGUUCUUGGAUGCGAACUGGUUACUCCACCGGAGACAAAUACAAAAUAGACAGGCGCAAGCUGCCCUUGGAUCGAGCUAGCCACUUGACCGAACAGAAACAGAUAGACGGGUACAAGCUGUUCUUGGACUUGAACUAGCCACUCGACCGAUAACAUAAGCAAAUUGAUAGGUACAAGCUGUUCUCGGACUUGAACUAGCCACUUGACCAAACAGAAACAUAUUGACAGGUACAAGCUGCUCUUGGAUUGAGCUGGGCACUCGACCGAUAACAUAAGCAAAUUGAUAGGUACAAGCUGUUCUUGGACCUGAACUAGCCACUUGACCAAACAGAAACAUAUUCACUGGAGGUUGGUUUGGUUGACAAAAUAUAGAUUGAGAUUGAUUUGACAUCGAUUUGAAUUGAAAGGUAGAAAUUGACUGAUAACAUUGGCUCACAAGGUUUUGACGGAGAACCUGACAUGAGUGUUGAAUUGAGACUGAUGUUGUCAUUGGAAAUGCAAUAUGCAUGGAUGAUAUAACAGUUUCAUUAAAUGCAUGGGCACGUAAUAUGCAUGAUUAUGCAUGUAUGAAUGCUUGUAAUGCAUGACUAUUGGCAGUUUGUAGGCACGACUUCACGGGGAAGACAAGACAUUAGAGUAUUGGGCACGUAGUGGCUCGUGCUAUAUUACACAUUCUUGGAAAUCCUCUUUGGAGAUGACGUCGUUGGGAGACGUAUCGGAACCAUGGCUGAGGGCAGGUAGCUAAACAACUUGCUUGGGGAUAGAAUCUUGAGAGACUCCACCGGGGAAAACGCCGUUGUGCUGGGCAUGUCAGCGCUGGGUAUGUCGUAGAUAUCGCAUCUGUGGUCAAUGCUUUUUGCAUGUUAUAUUCUCAAUUUUCAUUCAUCAUUUUUGCAUCCCAUUUUUGCUUGGAUCGCCCUUUCGGGUUUUCGACCCACCGGGGAAAUAGAUUCUUUUCAAUGCCCCAUUUUUGCCUGAACUGCCCUUUCGGGUUGUCAAUCCAGCGGGGUGCUCAUUUUUGCCUAAGCCGCCCUUCCGGGUUUUCGACUUAGCGAGCCUAUCUAUUUUCAUGCAUUUUCAUUCUGUUUUUUCAUUCCUGCCAUUGACCACAGAUUAUCUUGGAGGAGAACCUGCUUGUAACAUAUAUUGAAAUAGACAUCGACAUACUCUCGCUUAUGCAUGUUUCGUUUGAAUGUACCCUGUUGCUCAGGUUUGCUUUUCAAAAUAGACAAAAAAAUUUCAAUUUUCAAAAAUGUUUGUUUCAAGCAUUGCCAUUAUCAAAAUAGAAAGAAAAUGUUUUGUAUAUAGCUUUGAAAGUAGAAGAAAAAUAGAAUUUCAAACAAAAGCACAAGCUCAAAUUGAUGUAUAAGAGUGGUGGUCAACCGAAGGCGUGACUCCACGGAUUCACAAAGCUUGGAAAAUGGUAAUUUUUAUUGGUUGGUGGUACAUUGAACACAGCAAUCAUUACAUUUCCCAAAAACUUUGAAUUCACAAGUACAGAAGCUUCAGAUGAAGAUGGUCAUUAACAGCUGCAGAUGCCCCAAGGGGGACGGUGGUUAGCCAGAUAUAGUUACUUGCCUUUUGUUUCAAUCUCAUUUUUGCAUGAACCGCCCUUCCGGGUUUUCGAUUCAUCGAGACGCUCAUUCUUGCCUGAGUUGCGUGCAAUCUCAGCGAGCUUUUCAUAUUUGUUUCUUUUGUCCCUUAUUUUUGCCUGGACCGCCCUUUCGGGUUUUCGAUCCACCGGGAGGCGCAUUUUUGCCUAGGCCGCCCUUUCGGGUUUUCGACCUACCACGCUGUUCUUUUCAUAUUUCUAGGCAAAGUAUUUCUUGACUAUAUCGGCAUUCACUGGAUUUGGAAGUUCUACACCAUCCAUGUGUGUAAGGAUUAAAGCACCACCGGAGAAGGCCUUCUUGACAACAUAAGGACCUUCAUAGUUAGGCGUCCACUUGACCCUUGGGUCGGGUUGCUGGCUUACCCUCCUUUUCAAUACAAGUUCCCCUACUUUGAACUAUCGAGGAUGAACUUUCUUGUCAAAAGCAGUCUUCAUUCUUGCUUGAUAUGACUGUCCACGAGCCAUGGCAUCCAUACGUUUUUCCUCAAUCAAAUUCAACUGAUCAUACCGGCUUUGGCACCAUUCAGCCUCAGAUAACUUUGCUUCCAUGAUCACACGGAGAGACGGGAUCUCCACUUCCAAAGGAAGAACUGCUUCCAUACCAUAUACAAGAGAGAAAGGGGUUGCCCCGGUUGAACUGCGCACUGUAGUACGGUAGCCAUGCAGAGCAUAGGGUAACAUCUCAUGCCAGUCCUUGUAAGUGGUUACCAUCUUCUGGACAAUUCUCUUGAUAUUCUUGUUGGCGGCCUCAACUGCACCAUUCAUCUGAGGUCUAUAGGGAGAAGAGUUAUGAUGCUCAAUCUUGAAUUCUUCACAAAGAGCUUGCACCACAUUGUUGUUCAAGUUGGUACCAUUGUCAGUAAUGAUCUUGCUGGGAACACCAUAUCGACAGAUGAUGUUGUUCUUGAUGAACUUAGCUACCACUUGCUUGGUCACAUUGGUAUAAGAUGCUGCUUCAACCCACUUGGUGAAGUAGUCAAUUGCCACUAAGAUGAAACGAUGACCAUUUGAAGCCUUCAGUUCAAUUCUUCCAAUCAUGUCGAUGCCCCACAUUGAGAACGGCCAUGGGGAUGAAAUAACAUUGAGAGCGUGUGGAGGCACAUGAAUCUUAUCAGCAUAGAUUUGACAUUUGUGGCACUUUCUGGCGUACUGAUAGCAAUCAUGCUCCAUGCCCAUCCAGUAGUAACCUGCUCGUAACAACUUCCUUGACAUAGUAUGCCCUGUAGCAUGGGUCCCGAAGGUACCGUCAUGUACAUCAUGCAUUAACUGCUCUGCUUCAUGUUCAUCAACACAUCUUAACAAUACCAUGUCAUAGUUUCUCUUGUACAGAAUAUCCCCAUCUAACCGGAACCUACUGGCCAAUCUUCUCAGGGUCUUCUUAUCUUGUUUGGAAGCACCCGGCGGAUACUCACGGCUCAGCAAGAACUGUUUGAUGCCAUAAUACCAGGGUCUAUAGUCAACCACAUUUUCACCAGCCUGAUCGAUCACAUCCCCAAUAGCAAACACAUGCGAAGGUCUUUCAAGGCGUUGCAUUUUGAUUACUGGCACAUCAUUCCAAUGGUUUACUCGAAACAUGGAGGAUAGAGUAGCAAGAGCAUCAGCCAUUUGGUUCUCAUCACGAGGAAUAUGGUGUAGCUCAACCUUUGUAAAAUAUGUCAGCAAACGUCUCGCAUAAUCACGAUAAGGAAUCAACUUAGCAUGGUGGGUCUCCCAUUCACCCUUUAUCUGAUUGAUGACGAGCGCAGAAUCCCCAUAGAUGUCGAGGUGUUUGAUUCUCAUGUCAAUUGCUUCCUCGAUCCCAAAGAUACAGGCUUCAUACUCAGCCAUAUUGUUGGUACAUUCGAACAAAAUUCGGGCUGUAAAAGGAAUGUGAUGCCCCUGUGGGGAUACAAUGACUGCCCCAAUUCCUUUACCAUAAGCAUUGACAGCACCAUCAAAGACUAAACCCCACUUGCUAUUGGGAUCUGGACCUUCAUCAAUCAACGGUUCUUCACAGUCCUUUGAUUUCAAAUACAUGAUCUCUUCAUCGGGGAAAUCGAACUCAAUUGGUUGAUAAUCAUCGAGAGGUUGGUAAGCAAGAUGAUCGGCAAGAAUGCUACCUUUGAUUGCCUUUUGAGUUUUGAACACAAUAUCAUAUUCAGACAGAAGCAUCUGCCAGCGUGCAAUCUUCCCAGUAACAGCAGCUUUCUCAAAGAUAUACUUUAUCGGAUCCAUUCUGGAUAUCAACCAAGUUGUAUGAUUCACCAAAUAAUGACGCAGGCGUUUAGCGGCCCAGGCCAAAGCACAACAAGUCUUCUCAAGCAUUGUAUACCGAGUUUCACAGUCGGUGAACUUCUUGCUUAGAUAGUAGAUAGCGUGCUCUUUCUUUCCAGUUUCAUCUUGUUGACCAAGUACGCAUCCCACAGAUUCAUCAAACACUGACAAAUACAAAAUCAAAGGCCUUCCUUCCACGGGAGGGACAAGGAUAGGGGGCUCCAGCAGGUAAUUCUUGAUGCUAUCAAAAGCUUCUUGGCAUUCAUCGUUCCAUACAAUAGGCUGAUUCUUGCUCAAGCAGUCGAGUGAUCUCAUAUGGUAUAUCAUCAUCCUCUUCAUCUUCGGCUUCAUACACAGGGAAUUCAAAAUUUGGAGGAACCGUAGGAUUACUGUGUUCAACGGGUUUAUUAUGGUUCAAACUGCAUAGAAUGGUUGAAUGAUUUUAGAAAAUGGUUUUUUUUUUUUUUUCUUUUAUGCAGUUCUUUGAAAUUGAUAAGAAAAAUAAAGAUGUUUUGGUUUUUUCUGGUAUUACCAUUAUUUCCAAGAAAAAAAGAAAAAAAAUCACUAAAAAAUAAAAGUCGUGAAAGAAACGACGAUUUUUGUUAAUAACGGCGAUGCCGAAACAAACACGCCCUUCCAGAAAUAUCACUUUCGCUUCGGGUAGAGCGAGAGGAUUGUUAUUUUGAAAAACAAAACACUUAAGCAACAAGACACAUUAUUCGGAAACAUGCAUGAUUGAAUGAAUGUUGAUGGCAUCACAAUUUCUCGCAAUGCCUCCUGGUAUAACAAACAUAGGCCUAGGACUACAUCCAGUCGCCUCUUCAGUAAUUGCAUUGAUAAACUCAGCACUGUAAAAGAUUCCUGUGGAGACUCCUGAAGUUGGGGAAUAUCCGAUACCCUCUUUAUGCUUAUUCUCAAGGAGUUGUAUUAACUUGCCCCAGCCAGCAGCUUGUCCUUCUUGGAUGUCAUUGACAGUCAGAUAAUUGUCGUUCAUCAGUCUCUGGAUGUCAUUCUGAACAACGUAGCAACCCCGAGGAUUAUGGAAGCAUUCUGGGCAACUGGCAUGAUCAUGGUCAAACAGAGAGGCUUGGCAUAACUCGAUGUGUAGUGGCACCAGAGGAGUUGCAACGUUACAAACGUCCGAUCUGGGAGCUUCCUCAUAUACCUCAAUCAUGUUUACAGCAGCGUGAUUCGGAAGAGGAUUGUCGACGACAUGAGGGACGUUAUUCUCAAAGGUCAAUUUUCCUUGGUCUAUGAGUUUUUUUACAAUGUACCUCAACGCGUAGCAUCCUUCGACAUCAUGACCCAUAGCACCUUGAUGGAAAUCACACUUGAGGUCCGAACGGAACUUGGGAGGCGAUGGAUCAGGUGGAGGCUUGCCCUGUCUGGUUGUGCAGUGCCCUUUGAGAAGUAGAGUCGGGAGUAAUUCAGCAUAUAACAUUGGUAUCAGAGGAAAGGUAGGUCUAGCCUGUUGCUGCUGUCGUUGUUGAGCUGGAGGCUGUUGUUGCAUUCGCUGGACGACGGCAUUAACGGGUACCUGAGGUUGACCCGAUGGCAAAGGAUACUGAUGAUAGAAUGGUGGAAAGAAGGGAUGCUGAGAGUAUUGCGCAUACGUGUACGACGGAGGUAGCUGAGCAGCAUUGAUGUCCAUGACCUGGAACGUGAUCAGAAAGGUUUCGGGACAGAUAGUUAUUGGCAGAUCUAUCUCCCCAAGAAUGUUCUUACGGGAUCCGUCGAAGGCUUUAACCAGAAAGGUGCUCAUUCCCAAGGGAGUUCCCCGAUAGCUCAAUCGAUCCGGAGUGGCCGUUGUCUGAGGCAAGCUGGUAUUGACAGAGACAGGGUUCGUCCCAGGAAUCUGGCCAUUAUUGACAGUACCAGAAACGCCAGCUGCAGUACUAGGAGUGAAAAACGGUGGAAGCCCAUACGGAAACCCAGCUGGCAUAGCAAAGCGAGCGUCUGCAGAUGCGAUUGGGAGCACGCUUGUAGUCACCGGUACAGCUGUGACUAUAGGGAUAGCCGUAGCUGAUUGUUCUUGAGCGGCUAGCAGAGCAGUCAUGACAUCAUUAGCUUUAGCCAAUUCCUCCCUUAGAGUGGCUAACUCGGUACGGAGCUGAGCGUUCUCUUCUUCCAUAGCCUUUUUCCUUCUUCUGUAUUCUCUGGUUCGAUCGAUUCUAUCGGGUUCGUAGACCUUCUGAGCACGAGCCACUUUUCAAACUGUGGCAGAGGAACCAGGAGAUAGUGAGCACUUGGAAGCCUUUGUGACCGAUGCAUGAUGCAUAUGAUGCAUGAUAUGCAAAUGCAAAUGCAAAAGACUUAUUUUUCAUCGAAGGAUUUUUAAACAAAUUAGAAACCUUGCAAAUAAUCAAAACUACAUAGCAUUUUCAAAAGGAAGACUUUGAAAUUUCAAUGAGGUAAACAACUGAAGCCCUCAAGCAUAGGAAGUAGUCGGAAGAUCAUCGGACUCGGAAUCUGAAUCACAGUAUCUGUCAAAGAAGUCUCGUCGUCCUCUGGCUCUCUUGGAAUCCCUCAUAAGCAGCUCGUCUUUCUCUUCCAAUUCCCUCCGGGCUUUAGCUAGCUCCUUCUUCAACAUCAGAUUCUCAUGAGUCUUCUGCUCAUCUCUACCAUCCAAAGUCAUGAUUAGAUUCUCAGCUUGAUCGUACCGAGCUUUCCAUACUUGCUUCUCACGACUCUCCAUAGCUAGAUGCUCCUGAUACAUAUCCUGAGUUGCGGGGAGCAAAGGUAGAGGCAUAGAUGGGGUAGAUGAAGACACAUAUCUCAUAGCUGGAUAAGGCAUACCAAUCUCCUCAGCUCGAUCUAUCACCCACUGAGUAUAGGCCUCAUGAGCGACACCGGACCUCACACCUAGAUGCUUCACACUCUUCCUUCGAACCUUGGACCAAGCAUCCAUGAAAGCUUUCCUUUGUCCGGUAGGAGCAUUCGUGUAGAAGAAGAACUCUGGAGAUGUAGCAAGAUUGAUGGGCUUCGACUUCAUGGGGAAACCAAACUGUCUCAUAGCAAGCUCGGGGUUGUAGUUGAUUCCCCCACGGGUACCAAGAAGAGGUACAUUGAGAAAAUCUCCACAACCCAUAAUGAUUUCCUUCACCUGAGCGGCAGGAGUGAGCCAGACGACCUCAUUAGGAGUGAGGGCCAUAAUCCGCUGCGAGUAGGACCAAUUCUCCGAGUUGUCAUGGAAGGAACUCGGAAGGUGCGAAAUAAACCACCUAUACAAAAGAGAUGUGCAGCAAAGAAUAUAUCCACGGCCCUUGAGAGUCCUGUCAUGAAUGGCGUGGUAAGUAUCUGCUAGCAAAGUAGGAACCGGGUUCUUGGAAUGAAAGAUCUCGAUAGCAUUCAUGUCCACGAAGUUGUCGAGGUUCGGAAAGAGGAUGAGCCCGUAGAUAAGCAAAGCAAGAAUAGCCUCGAGUGUAUCCUGACGAGUAGUACCGAGAUUAGCCUGAUCAAGAAGAUACUUCGAAGUGAAACCCCGGAUGUGAGACUUGGUAAUAAGAUGAUUGGAGACGUCGGAAGUCUUGAGGUAGAGAUCCUUAGCAAUAACCAGAGGAGUAAGAGAAGUCCCGGGACCGGUGAAAGGCGUCUUCUCGGCUAUAGGUAAACCCACUAGAUUGGAGUAAGCCUCGAGAGUAGGAACCAACUGGAAGUCCGGGAAAGUGAAGCAGCGGAAGCUCGGAUCAUAAAACUGUACUAGAGUGUGCACUAGCUUCUCGUCCACAUCGGUUCGGAGCAAAGUAAGCAAUCCCCCAUACCGAAGUCGGAAACCUGUUUGACUCCUGACCUUGAGUGCCAACUCUCUCAAACUAACCAAAUCCACUUCCUUGAACUUGUAGCACUUAGUCUUCUUCAUACCUGUGAUUAUUUACAAAAAUUUCCAUUUGUUUAAACCCUUCGAUGAAUGCAUGAAAAAUGUUUAUGCAUGAAUGUAUGUAUGCAUGGUUGUGUUGUUUAGUUACAAUGUGGGUUGAGAUUCAAAGUAACAGGGCCACGGAUGGACACGGCGUCCGGUGAACUAAGGCUUUGGAUAAUAGUAACCAAGGUUCUAACACAGUUCCCAAACUGCAACCUCUCUCACAUAUAUCAUGGUAGUACAGGACAACACCCGUUCCAUGAUUAUUUGUGAGAAGGUCUAGUUUGAGUGUAGUAUCGCGUGACGACUAAAGUUUGAGACAACACUCAAUUUAGCCACCGCACUACGUCAUAAAAAAGGCUAGGAUGGGUUUGGUAACUACGGUUCAUAGCUUCGUCGAACAAUUGAAAGUGAAGUGUCUAAGCAUGACAACACACGCCGACAAUAUCACCUUCAAAAUGCCUCAGCUAUGUGAGAUUGAUCGCAUAAUCCAAUACACGAGGCAACCCCCGGAUCGAAUUGUCGAUUAUAUCUCUACCUAAACAUAAGUUCACUCAGCCCGGGUUAGGACUUUUGAUAUUCUCACCCCACACGUUAAAUGAAAGUAAACAAGUAUUCACACAUGUAAGCGAUAAAACAAAGCGUAAAUAUAAACUAAGGAAAACUAGGCGCGACCCGCUAAAAAAAAAAGUCCCCAGUGAAGUCGCCAUUUCUGUUAUCAUGGUUUUUGGGUGCCAAGCCAUUAAUUGGACUUGAACCUUUUGACCGUUGAUAUCUCUCUUUUUUCUUGGGAAGGGUAAAAGGAGAAAAACCCUUAAAAAGUUCUAGAUUCGGGGGUCGUUUUCGCUACGGGAAGGUGUUAGGCACCCGGAGCGAUUAUGGUAUUCCAUAAGAACCGCUUUCCUAAGUUGAUUUCUACGCUUUAGUUUUAUUGCUAUUUUGUAAAAAAAAGGAGGUGUGAUUAGUUAAGAAUGGGGGUGAGAAGAAGUAGAAUUUUGAUUUUAUUUCGGCUUGGAGGAGUUUUGACUCAUUGCCUACGUACCCUUUUAAGGGAUCAAAACCGAUCGUAGUUCAUUCUCAAAAAUGGUUUUUUGUUUUUGUUGGUUGAUUUUAAGUUUGAAAAGAGAUUUUGAAGAAUAGAGAUGAGAGGCCUCAAGGGCAUAAGAUUUGGAAAGUGUGAGGUGGAAUUAGUCAUUUUGCAAAAAUAAAGUCCAAGGAGGAUUAAGGUUUAUUGAAAAUUUUACUUAAGAAAAAAAAUAAAAGGGAAAUAAGGAGUUUUGACUCCUAUUUUAUUUUCAAAAAGGUUUUCAAGUGAGAUUAUUUGCAUGUUUUGGAAAAAGGUUGAUUUUUUCUAAGUGUUUAAACCUAAGCGCUUAUCGAACCAUACAAUCCUAUGCAUACAUCUAAGGUGAGUGUGUGCGUGCCGGUGCGUCAUAGUGUCCAUAGUCCAUAUUACAACAUUGCCUAAAUACAUUCUAUGGCCUCUUUGCCAAGCUACAAACCAAUGGUAAAAUAUUACAUCACCGAAUGAAUUACAAUUUGUAAAAAAAAGAAAACUAAACUAACGGAGACAAUAGUGAAGAUAAUGAAGUGCUAUGAAGUGAUCAACAUGAAAGGAAAUGUUAGUAGAAAAUGGUAAAAAAAGAAUAUGGCAUAAAGCGAUAGAAGAAAGUAUGGCAUAAGACGGUAAAGUGACGAUGAAAAUAAGCCGGAAACAUGUGAUGAAUAAUGCGCAUGAUGCAAGAAUAAAACUCAACACAUCAAAAAAGUGACAUAUGCAUAGCAAACAGUAGCAAAAUUCACAUGGAAUAGUAUGCAAAUCAAACAUGACGAACACGAACAUUAUGUACAUGAAGUAACGGGUAGAAAUGCGAGAAAAAUGACUUAAAAUAGUAAAAGCCCUUGACAAAACAACACUAAAAUUUUUAUCAACUUUUCCAAGUAAAAUACCACUGAAAAUUAUCAAGAAAAAUAGUAAAAUGACAUAGUAAAUUUCUUGGAAUUUAUUGAUAAAAAUUAACAUGAACAGAGGGUGCAAACAGUAGGCAAGUAUGGUGCAAGUAGCAAAAAAAGCAAAAAACGUGAAAGAAAACUAAGCCCAAACCCAAAGCCCACACUCAAAACUCAGAUUGCACAGGAGCCACACGAUUGAUCUAGGAUUCUGAAACCCUAGAUCAAACGGCCAGGAACAAGGGGGACUGGACCGGAAAUAAACCGGUCCGGUUCACUGGCUAUACAAAGGGGGAAAUCCGGUUUUUUCCUCAUUCUCUUCCUCUCCUUCUCUCUCUUCUCUCAUCCUAGUGAGAGAAGCUCCCACUUCUCUCUUCCCUCUCUCGCCGGAAACCUCAAGGAGGAAGAUGAGUUUCACGUGUUUACCUGUGAUUUUUGACUGGAGAUUUUGAACAAGAUCUUCGGAAAACUUGAUUGUUGGUGCGGUUUGUUGAUUCUCUGGCUUGGAUCCGAAAAUAAAUCGGUUCUUCUUUCUUUCUCUUUGCUGGUCCGAAUCGGUUCUUUCCCUCUUCUUCUCAAACUUUCGGAUCCUUCGCGAUCGUGCUUGGAUUCGUUGCUAUUGGUGACGGAUCCGCACUAGAAUUGUGAAGGAUUCGGUUCGAUGAUGAUGAUUCUCCAAUGAAUCACUGAGAACUGUGAUCUGGAAAAUUUUCUAGGGUUUUUGUUCUUGGUGUUCUUCUAUGAUUUUUCUGUUUUGAUCUGUAACUGAAUGGAGAGAGAAAAGAAAUCUGUUUGUGAUGAAUUUCUGACUUUUUUUUUUUUGACUGUGCAUUGAAUGCGCCUUUUAUAGGCUGCCAUGUGUGCAUUGGGACCAAUAGGAAAUUGACACCUGGACCUGGAGAAGAAAUGGCACGGCUUGGAAAAAAAAAUGAAAUUUGGACCUUUCUGCAAAAAACAAAAAAUUUGAGGACUAAACCGCAAAAUUAAUAAAAUAAUAAAAAAACCUGAAAUGAAAUUAAACUGUUUGGACAAAAAUGCAAUUUUGGGACCUCAAUUGAGGGACCAAAAUGCAAUUAAAAAUAAAAUUGAGUAAAAAACGUAAUUUGACCAAACGUAAAGCGAAACAAAAAAAUAAAAUUGACAAAACGGACUAAAACGAACCAAUGGCCUAAAUGAGGUACUUCAAAGUAACCUCCCUAUGCCAAAAUUUUAUGUGAAAUGACCAAAAUGCCCCUAGGGCUAAAAACGACCUAAACAGAUUGAAAUUGACUUGACACUGACUCAGACGCAAGUUUGAAAUGAAUUUUAACAAGGUUUACUGAUGAAAUAUUUAAAAAUAAUCUGAAAAGACUCAGAGACAGUCACAAGGAUGAAAAUGGGUCCCACUGCAGGAAAUGACCAAAAUACCCUUCUGUAUGACUUUUUGCAAAUUUUGAAAUAAACUGUGGUAAAAGCAAUGUAAUGAUCCGGAGACACUUUUGAAUGACUUAUAAGACAAGUAAAGAUAUUUCAAAAGGUUUUAUGCAAGAAAAACAUAGCUAAAAUUGUGAUUGGAAAUACUGCGAGGCAGAGACAAUUUGAACUGUGCAGUUGAAAUUUGAUAAUUGAUAAAUUUUGAAAUGAAAUUGGGCCCAGUAUUUUUAGGUCCAAAAACAGGGUAUAACACCCCUUAUAGGUCAUAAAAAAACGAAAAAAUUCUGCAAAAAUAAAUAAAUAAAGUCGCUUUUUUUUAUGACCUAUUAGGGGUGUAUUCCAAAAAAAUAAUAUUUUACAGGGGGUAAAUAAAAAAAAAAAAUUUACAGGGGUAAAUCACCAUUAACCCUAAUUUUUUUAUGACUUUAUCAGAGAAUGUUAAAGUGUGCCCAAGACACAACAAAUAAAUUUGAAUAAGGGGUCACUUUGGUCUUUACUUUGCACGUUGUUGUCACGAUGGUCUGUAACAUAUUUGAAGACUAGUAUUUUGUAUUUUAUUUUGAGUUAGCGACUAUUUGACAAUGAAGUAUAAAGUUAUAGACCAAAAUGACCAUUUAUUCAAUAAAUUUUUAUAAAAAGUAUUGUAUAAUUAUUAUUUGAUCAAAAUAACAAUUUUGUAUUUUUAAAACAAAGUUUUUAUUUUUGAAUUCUUUAAUCAAUGCUCCGAGCAUUUGUUGCCUACCAAAUUGUUGGCAAUACUCAUCUCUUAUUCUUAAACAAAGCACUGUCGCCCUAAUUAUACCUAAUAUCUUCUUAAAUAUUAAAGUUAACAAGUAAGCCCUAAUUUUAACCUAAACCCUAUUGCAUAAUUUUACUGUUUUAACCCUAAUGUUCACACCUAAUCUCCUAUUUUCAUGAACAAUCUUCUUAUAUAUUAAAGUUAACAUGUAAGCCCUAAUUUUAACCUAAACCCUAUUGCAUAAUUUUACUGUUUUAACCCUAAUGUUCACACCUAAUCUCCUAUUAAAUAUUAAAGUUAACAUAUAAGCCCUAAUUUUAACCUAAACCCUAUUGCAUAAUUUUACUGUUUUAACCCUAAUGUUCACACCUAAUCUCCUAUUUUCAUGAACAAUCUUCUUAUAUAUUAAAGUUAACAUGUAAGCCCUAAUUUUAACCUAAACCCUAUUGCAUAAUUUUACUGUUUUAACCCUAAUGUUCACACCUAAUCUCCUAUUUUCAUGAACAAUCCUAAUGCUCUCUCCUAAUCUUCUUAUAUAUUAAAGUUAACAAGUAAGCCCUAAUUUUAACCUAAACCCUAUUGCAUAAUUUUACUGUUUUAACCCUAAUGUUCACACCUAAUCUCCUAUUUUCAUGAACAAUCUUCUUAAAUAUUAAAGUUAACAUGUAAGCCCUAAUUUUAACCUAAACCCUAUUGCAUAAUUUUACUGUUUUAACCCUAAUGUUCACACCUAAUCUCCUAUUUUCAUGAACAAUCUUCUUAUAUAUUAAAGUUAACAUGUAAGCCCUAAUUUUAACCUAAACCCUAUUGCAUAAUUUUACUGUUUUAACCCUAAUGUUCACACCUAAUCUCCUAUUUUCAUGAACAAUCCUAAUGCUCUCUCCUAAUCUUCUUAUAUAUUAAAGUUAACAAGUAACCCUAAUUUUAACCUAAACCCUAUUGCAUAAUUUUACUGUUUUAACCCUAAUGUUCACACCUAAUCUCCUAUUUUCAUGAACAAUCCUAUUGCUCGCACCUAAUCUUCUUAUAUAUUAAAGGUAACCCGUAAGCCCUAAUUUUAACCUAAAUCCUAUUGCAUAAUUUUACCGUUUUAACCCUAAUGCUCACACCUAAUCUUCUAUUUUCAUGAACAACGCUAAUGCCCACACCUAAUCUCCUAUUUUCAUGAACAAAGCAAAUCGGCAUCGCUUUAUUUCCCCUAUUUCUUCAAAACAAAUCGCCCUAUUUCUUCAACAAAACAAAUCGCCCUAUUGGAAUAAAAGGGUUUUGAAAGAUUAUAGCAACAUUUUUUUUGUUAAUAUUACACUUUUCAUCCAAAUUAAAACCGAACUCUCUUUGUUAAAUAUUUACCACAAAAUGCACCUGAAUUUUGCAAUCUAUAUAAACAGGUGGAAGAAACAUUUCAACAAACAGUUAAAGGGUAUCAUUUACGGUAAAUGCCAAAUAUUCGAUAAAAGGAAAAUUAUUUAAAUAAAACAUUUUACAUGUUGAGGUUAAGAAUGAACUAUUUUUAGGUACAUAAUAUAACAUUAACAUAUAAUUCUUACAAAAGAAUGAAGUAACAUUUUUUCAAAAAAAAAAAAGAAAAAUAAGAAGUAACAUACCAAUAAUAUAAUAUUGACAUAUAAUUUUAACAAAAGAAUGAAGUAACACAUCUUCUUAUAUAUUAAAGUUAACACUUAAGCAUAUUUUAACCCUAAUUUUAACCUAAACCUAUGGCAUAAAUUUACUAUUUUAACCCUGAUGCUAAAUUCAUUUGUUUAACCUUAUUGAAUUUUGCCCCUUCUCAAUUUCUCGAGACAUCUUCUUAUAUAUUAAAGUUAACACAGAAGCAUAUUUUAGCCCUAAUUUUAACCUAAACCUAUGGCAUAAAUUUACUAUUUUAACCCUGAUGCUAAAUUCCUUUGUUUAACCUUAUUGAAUUUUCCCCCUUCUCAAUUUUUCGAUACAUCUUCUUAUAUAUUAAAGUUAACACUUAAGCAUAUUUUAGCCCUAAUUUUAACCUAAACCUAUGGCAUAAAUUUACUAUUUUAACCCUGAUGCUAAAUUAUUUUGUUUAACCUUAUUGAAUUUUCCCCCUUCUCAAUUUCACGAUACAUCUUCUUAUAUAUUAAAGUUAACGUAGAAGCAUAUUUUAGCCCUAAUUUUAACCUAAAUCUAUUGCAUAAAUUUACUAUUUUAACCCUGAUGCUAAAUUCCUUUGUUUAACCUUAUUGAAUUUCCCCCUUCUCAAUUUCUCGAUACAUCUUCUUAUAUAUUAAAGUUAACACAGAAGCAUAUUUUAGCCCUAAUUUUAACCUAAACCUAUUGCAUAAAUUUACUAUUUUAACCCUGAUGCUAAAUUCCUUUGUUUAACCUUAUUGAAUUUUCCCCCUUCUCAAUUUCUCGAUACAUCUUUUUAUAUAUUAAAGUUAACUAAACAUAUUUUGAAUCAAUUAUAGAAAUUUCUUUCAACCUAAUUUUUGUCUUUUGGCAAAAUCUCUUCUGUUAUUAAAUUAUAGAUUGCUGCUCAAUGUCACUAAAAAUAUUUUGAAUCAAUUAUACAAUUUCCUUCUAUAGUUGUAUUUAAAAUUAUUAAAGUUAACUAAACAUAUUUUGAAUCAAUUAUAGAAAUUUCUUUCAACCUAAUUUUUGUCUUUUGGCAAAAUCUCUUCUGUUAUUAAAUUAUAGAUUGCUGCUCAAUGUCACUAAAAAUAUUUUGAAUCAAUUAUACAAUUUCCUUCUAUAGUUGUAUUUAAAAUUAUGACAUUAAAAUUAUAAGUUGGGACUGUAUUAUAAAAUGUUGCUUUUGUCUACUACACUUACAAUGUAUAUGACCCGUGCGGCAGCACGGGUGGACGAUCUAGUUUUAACCUAAAAUUGUAGCCAUUUUUUCCUCCUUCAAAACCUAACCAUAUUUCUUAACUCCCCUCCUCCAAACCCUAACUAUGAUCUCCUAAUUUCCCUCCUCCUAAAACCUAUCUAAUUGAUUUCCAUAUUUUAUGUAGCCAUAUUUUUUUCCUCACUUCCUCAACUGAUUUACCCUAAUAUAUUAUUAUUCUCAUUAAUCUCAUAAUAAAUUGUACUUAUUUUCUGGUUUAACCCUUUAUGAGCUUCCUACUCUUUCUCCUUGAUCUUAAACAACUUAUGCGUUUAACACUUAUCAAAACCGAAAUAUCAUAAUCCUACACCUUAAUUUAAUCAUUUCUCCUAAAUCGAAAUCUCUUUUCAAAACAAAUACCUUUCUCUUAAACCGAAAUUUCUUAUUCAACAUGGCUUCCAGAAACAUUGAGACUUUGCUGUCAUACCACUGCCUCACUGGUAAUCAUUCCUUUUGCACCUAUUCCACACUGGUUUAAACUAUAAAUCAUGCUUUCGAAUUAACAGUCAUUAGAACUUCUGGUUUAUACUAUUAGUUAUUUGUCACUUUUAAUGAAACUGUGUGUAUGUAUUUAUAGUCAUUUUUGGAUAUAUUCAUCGAUAAUAUAAUUGUGCACUCCUUAUAAUUUGCCUUGGUGCUAUUCCUUUGGUUAAAGUAUUUUGUCAUAUAGAAUCUAGAAACACUAGAGGCAUCUUUGAACAAAAUCAACCAAAACACAUUUUUUCUUGUUGUAUUAAUAUAUAUUCAUCUGAAAGAAUUUCCAGAAAUGUAUUUUAUGUUUUCUAACGUGACUAAUAUGCUCUUAUAUUAAUAUAUAUGUACACUUUAAUUUACAAAGCAUCAUCAAGUCUUUCGUAGUAGCCCUCAUGGUAAAAUUCACAUACUUGAAUUACAGAAAUAUUUCUUUGUCAAUUUCAAAUUUCGUUUGUCACAGUCAUGAUUAUACUAUAUAAAAAAACCAUAGUGUUAUCCUAAUAAAAUGUUAUAGUAAAGCGAUUCGUGACUUUUACAGAAUCGGUCUUGGUGCCUAGAUUACCUUGGUUUUUGUGGGUGACAGACAGUUUGAUAUACGGUUGACUGAUAGGUUUCACAAGAGUAUCCCAUACCCGGCUUUUGAUCCCUCUAUGCAUUUCCUUCUUGACAAGAUGAAUUUGCAAGCAACUUUCGAAGACUAUCUCCCCCCAAUAACAUCUCUUCUCGCUUAUCGUCACAAUAUCAGUGACAUGGUUCUUGAUUUCGAAAAAAAUUAACUGAGUAUGAUGUUACUAAAGGUUGCGUGGUAUGAUACACUUUUCGUGUCCACCUUAACUUUUUUUGUUCCUUUUCCGUUUAGUUGAUAUAAGUUACAUGGAUUUCUAAUUUUGCAGAUUCUACUUUACACCGGCAAUGUUCCACAGAUGCUUGAUACACUCUUAACAACUGUGAAUAUUAUUGACGAUUGCGGUAACAUAUGGGUGUGUGAGCUAAGUUUUGCAACUAUUCCUUGUGAACACUUCAAGAUAGGAGGGCGUUGGAAAAGGUUUGUGGAAGCUCGCAAGCUCCGUGAAGGUGUGAAAAUCAGAGGGGGUGCUCUGAUGGUUGGGUCACAUGAUACCAUUUACCUUGAUGUUAUUUACAAUUAGUCCAUGUUUAGAUAAAUUGUGCAAGACCUUUCCAGUUUGAAUUUUAAGUUUUAGUUUUUUAGAGUUUUGGAAGCAUCUAAUUUUUUUGUCUUUGAAUUUAGCAAAUGUCCCUUGAAUUUCAUAAAUAAUUUAGUCUUACUUGCUUUUCUUUUUGAUUUAUAUAUUUGUGUUUGUGUUGCUUAAACAAUUUAGUAACGUGAAUUUUGUUAACAAGGGAAACUUAUAUGUGUAUGUAUGUUUUUGUGUUGUUGAAUCAAUUUAGUAGCAUGGUUAUGUUACUGAAGCAUUUUAGUAACAUGGCUUUUAGUAACAUUAUUAGUAACAAUUACUACCUUUUGGUGACACUCUUAGUAACAUUAUUAAUAACAAUUACUACCUUUUGGUGACAAUUAUUUCCUAUUAGUAACAUUCCUGAAAGAGCAUAUUUUGAAAUAAUUAAUUUUCUUAUUUGGAAUAUGUUAAACUCAAAAUGGGAAUUUUUAGUCAACAUUAGAAUCCUUUAAAAAAUGUAUUGCAAACCUUUUUCACAUGGAGAGUUGUACGUCGCAAUAUCAUGGGUUACUUUGAGGGGUGGUUUAAAGAUAUUGAUUAAUGACGAGGACGCGAUGAUACCGAUGUUGGACAAAUGUGGUCUACAGAUAAGUUUUCCGUAAUGUGUAGGACUUUUUUGUAUACUAUUCAUUUUCUUACUUAUUGAAACUAUUUGCAUGUCAACGAACUUCAGUUUCCCUUUUAAAAUUAUAUGUUAUGUUAAAGUAAUAGGAACUACGUACUAGAAUUAUGGAACAAUAACAAAGCCUAUGAUAAUUGGCGUUAUGCUUUGAUUUACGACAAUUUUUACAUUCAAGCGAACUAUAUUAUUUUAUUUUUACGGUGAAUAUUAACUUCUUAAAAUGACCUGUGCGUUAGCACGGGUCAAUGGUCUAGUAUUUAUUCAGUUGUGCACUGUGUCUCUGAGACAGGCUAAUUUGACCACCAAGUUUUUUUUAAUCAGAAACAUAUUUUCAAAAAAUGUAAUCAUAUAUUCACACUGUAAUAAAAAUAUAUUCACAGUUGGACAAAAAAAUAAAAUAAGUAUAUUUAUUAUAUUCACACCUAUAGUAUACCCACGUGGUUAUCUUUUUCUAUAAACUCAAACCUAUAUAUAUCUCAUAUAUACAGAUCCGUGAAUAAUUUGCAAACCUUCCACUAAUAUUUAUUAUAAAUCUGCUACAUCAAUAAUGGUACUACCCACGUUCAUCAUCAUGAUUCUGUGUGUCCUUCCAACACUUUCUGUGGCUGAAGACAGUGAAGCAAAAUUAGCACUCUUAAAAUGGAAAGCUAGCUUUGACAACCAAAGUCAAAGUAUCUUGUCAACUUGGAAAAAUACCACAAAUCCAUGCAGCAAAUGGAGAGGAAUUGAGUGUGACAAAUCCAAUCUCAUUUCUACCAUAGAUCUUGCAAAUUUAGGACUAAAAGGUACACUUCACUCUCUCACCUUCUCUUCAUUCCCCAACCUCAUAACCCUAAAUAUCUAUAACAACCACUUUUAUGGAACCAUUCCUCCACAAAUAGGUAACUUGUCAAGAAUAAAUACAUUGAAUUUUUCAAAAAAUCCUAUUAUUGGUUCCAUCCCUCAAGAAAUGUACACAUUGAGGAGUUUAAAAGGCCUUGAUUUUUUCUUUUGUACACUAAGUGGAGAAAUUGAUAAAUCCAUAGGAAAUUUAACCAACCUAUCAUAUCUAGAUUUAGGAGGUAACAAUUUUUCUGGUGGUCCCAUUCCUCCUGAGAUUGGAAAAUUGAAGAAAUUAAGGUAUCUAGCAAUUACACAAGGUAGCCUAGUUGGUUCCAUUCCACAAGAAAUUGGUUUGUUGACAAACCUUACUUAUAUUGAUUUGUCAAACAACUUUCUAUCUGGUGUUAUCCCUGAAACCAUAGGGAACAUGAGCAAAUUAAAUCAACUCAUGUUUGCUAAUAACACCAAGUUGUAUGGACCAAUUCCUCACUCCUUGUGGAACAUGUCUAGCUUGACCUUGAUCUACCUUUAUAACAUGAGUCUUUCUGGUUCAAUCCCUGAUUCAGUACAAAACUUGAUUAAUUUGGAUGUACUUGCACUUUAUAUGAAUAACCUUUCUGGAUUCAUUCCUUCCACAAUUGGAAACUUGAAAAACCUCACUUUAUUGCUUUUGCGAAAUAAUCGACUUUCUGGAUCAAUUCCUGCCUCUAUAGGAAAUUUGAUCAAUUUGAAAUACUUUAGUGUCCAAGUAAACAAUCUCACAGGAACUAUUCCAGCUACAAUCGGAAAUUUGAAGCAGCUCAUUGUCUUUGAAGUAGCUUCCAACAAACUUUAUGGUAGAAUUCCAAAUGGACUUUAUAACAUUACCAAUUGGUAUUCCUUUGUUGUGUCCGAAAAUGAUUUUGUUGGCCAUUUGCCGUCUCAAAUGUGCACCGGGGGCUCAUUAAAAUACUUAAGUGCAUUUCAUAAUCGUUUCACUGGUCCAGUACCAACAAGUUUAAAAAGCUGCUCUAGCAUUGAAAGAAUCAGAAUUGAGGGUAAUCAAAUCGAAGGAGAUAUAGCAGAAGAUUUUGGUGUGUAUCCGAAUUUGCGAUACGUUGACCUGAGUGAUAAUAAAUUUCAUGGCCACAUUUCACCAAACUGGGGGAAGUCUCUUGAUCUUGAAACCUUCAUGAUAUCUAACACUAAUAUUUCUGGUGGUAUACCAUUAGAUUUUAUUGGUUUAACCAAGCUAGGUAGGCUUCAUCUUUCUUCAAAUCAAUUGACAGGGAAACUUCCAAAGGAAAUACUAGGAGGCAUGAAAUCAUUAUUAUAUCUCAAGAUUAGUAACAAUCAUUUUACAGAUAGCAUCCCAACAGAAAUUGGAUUGCUGCAAAGGCUUGAAGAGUUGGAUCUUGGAGGAAAUGAGUUAAGUGGCACGAUACCAAAUGAAGUUGCAGAGCUACCGAAGUUACGAAUGUUGAAUUUGAGCAGAAACAGAAUUGAAGGAAGAAUUCCAUCUACGUUUGAUUCAGCUCUUGCUUCAAUUGAUCUUAGUGGCAAUCGUUUGAAUGGAAACAUACCAACAAGUCUCGGAUUCUUGGUGCAGUUGUCAAUGUUGAAUCUCUCACAUAAUAUGCUUUCAGGAACCAUUCCUUCAACUUUUAGUAUGAGUUUGGAUUUUGUUAACAUAUCAGACAACCAGUUAGAUGGUCCACUUCCAGAAAAUCCAGCUUUUCUUCGUGCUCCGUUUGAAUCAUUCAAAAAUAACAAAGGCUUAUGUGGAAAUAUCACAGGUUUGGUUCCGUGUGCAACAAGCCAGAUCCAUAGUAGAAAGAGCAAAAAUAUCCUUCAAUCGGUAUUUAUUGCUUUAGGAGCUCUAAUAUUAGUGUUGAGUGGAGUUGGAAUUUCGAUGUAUGUUUUUUUUCGGAGAAAAAAACCAAAUGAAGAAAUCCAAACUGAAGAAGAAGUACAAAAGGGAGUACUAUUUUCGAUUUGGAGCCAUGAUGGGAAAAUGAUGUUUGAAAAUAUCAUUGAAGCUACUGAGAAUUUUGAUGACAAAUAUCUCAUUGGAGUUGGAAGUCAAGGAAAUGUUUACAAGGCAGAGUUGCCUACAGGAUUGGUUGUUGCUGUGAAGAAGCUUCAUUUAGUAAGAGAUGAAGAAAUGUCAUUUUUCAGUUCGAAGUCUUUUACGAGUGAGAUUGAAACCUUGACAGGAAUCAAACACAGGAAUAUCAUAAAGCUUCAUGGAUUUUGCUCACAUUCUAAGUUCUCAUUUUUAGUUUACAAGUUCAUGGAAGGUGGAAGCUUAGAUCAAAUACUAAACAAUGAAAAACAAGCCAUUGCAUUUGAUUGGGAAAAGAGGGUGAAUGUUGUUAAAGGUGUCGCCAAUGCUUUGUCCUACUUGCAUCAUGAUUGCUCACCUCCUAUUAUUCAUCGUGAUAUAUCGAGCAAGAAUAUUCUUCUCAAUCUUGACUAUGAAGCUCAUGUCUCCGACUUUGGGACAGCUAAGUUUCUUAAGCCUGACUUACAUAGUUGGACACAAUUUGCAGGCACUUUUGGGUAUGCAGCUCCAGGUUAGAACCAUUUCUCCUCAUUUUUAAUUUACACAAGUUUCGUUAUAUACACUAGUAGCAGUGGAAUCUGUGUAAAAGAAUAUGCGCUAAAAUACAUUUCCAACUGAAAAGAAUCAUUUUUUUAAUUAAAUAGAUAAGUUAUGUGGAUGUACCAGAGUCCAUUUAAAGAAUACAUGGCUUCAUAUUGUUUUGUGCAAAAUAUAACUUAAAAAUUAAUUUAUUUGUUUGUUUGCAGAGUUGUCCCAAACAAUGGAAGUGAAUGAGAAAUGUGAUGUAUACAGCUUCGGAGUGCUUGCUUUGGAAAUCAUAAUAGGAAAACAUCCAGGAGAUCUCAUUUCAUUAUUUUUGUCACCAUCUACAAGACCAACGGCUAAUGAUAUGUUAUUGACAGAGGUUUUAGAUCAAAGACCUCAAAAAGUUAUAAAACCAAUUGAUGAGGAGGUUAUCUUGAUUGCAAAGUUGGCAUUUUCUUGCUUAAAUCAAGUUCCACGUUCUCGUCCAACUAUGGAUCAAGUAUGUAAGAUGCUUGGAGCAGGAAAAUCACCUUUGGAAAAUCAAUUUCACACGAUCAAACUAGGGCAACUUCAUUAAGUCGUUGAAAUACUCUAUUGUAUAUAUAUAUAAUAAUAACCUAGUCUUUUUCUUGUUUCUUCUCUUGUAAGAUGCUUGGAACAGGAAAACCACCUUUGGUGGGAAAGCAACUUCACAUGAAAUAAUCUAUUGAACUAACUCAACGAAAUAAUCUACUGUACUAUAUAAUAAUAACAUCUUUUGUAUUUUUCUUGCACAACAUUCUCAAGCAAUUUCUUCUUUUCAUUGCACCAAUUAAUACUUCAAAAUAAGCAUGAAAAACAGAUUCAUGAGUAAAUAGUCAUUUUGGUCAUUGAAUGUGUAAGAUGUUGUUACUUGAUACUAUAAUCUCUGAAUGUAUCAAAAUUACAAACACAUUCUCAAUGUCUCUUUUGUCAGUAAUUUUAUAGACUAAAUGGACCAUAAAAAAUACUAAUAUUUCAGAAAUUUGUGUGCAUUUUUUGAAACAAUAAAAAAUACUAAAAAGAUUGCUUUUAUUAUUUAGAGAAAUGCAACACCUCUAACUAAUAUAUCAAUGUUCUUUUCAUUACAAUGGUUCGAGUCUCACAUUUUCCUAUUAACAAGUUUUAUUCAUCACAAUGAGUCACGCCUCAUUUCAAUUUGGGACUGAUCAUGUCUUGCUUUAUAUGUUUUGCGUUUAGGAGUCCUUGCAUUUUCCGUGAUCUGCAAUUUCCUUUCUUGUCUUGAUCUCUGGUGUGCAAUUACUGAUCAUGAAUUCUAGGUCACAAUGUCUGGUUUCCGUGCAGGUUGUUUGUGUUCUCAUCGUUGUUUGUGUGGGGUUCAUCCAGUUUUGUGUGUUCACACUAUUGUUCGCGUGGGUUACAUUAUCACUAUUGUUCAUGUGGUCCUUUCUUAUUCUUGGUUGAACUCUCAUGGCCUCAAAAAGGAAAGAUGCGAUUUAUGUGUCUGUUUCACCAGAAAAUAUUACCCGACUAGAGAAUUCAGUUCAAGAUGUAUGUCAACUGGAAAGGAUUAUGGAAUCUGUUGUGAAUUCGAACACAAAACUCACACCAAUAAAACUAUGAUGUGUGGAGUAAAGGAAAGUAGUAAUCAAUAUCAAAGUAAACACAAGCAACAACAAUAACAACACCAAGAUCUAAUCUAGGAAUCAAAGUGAAAAGCUCAAAACCACAAGCAAAAAGAUAAGGAGAGAAGAGAAACAAACAGACCAAGAAAUGUUUACCCAGUUCGGUCCAACUUGAUCUACUCUUGGGGAGAGAUUUAUCUCUCCAAUCCACCAUCAAUGAGUUCUUACAAAAAGAUACAAAUGGGUUACAAGAAAUUAGCUUCAACAAGCUCACAAAGAAAAAAUCUAAUUUCUACCCAUUUUCCCAAUCUCACAAAUGAACAAGACACUCAAUGAUUUUCACUCACCCAAGGUGUUUACAAUGUUUCUCACCCCAAGAUAACUAUAAUCAAAGACCCUCAACCCUAAAGUUACCUCCUUUGAUUUCUCAAGUUUUCCUCUCUUGAAGCUCUUCCUUAAAAAAGAAGAAUGAAACCUUACAUAGUGUUCAGGAUUUCGCACCAUCGUACUACGAUGGAGCAAAUAAUAGUAUAAUACUAUGCCUUAUCCAACAAAAUCGUACUACGAUUUCUCCCAUCGUACUGCGAUUUUUCCAGUGCCUACACAAACCUGAACUAUUCAAAAUCGUACUACGAUGCCUGCAAUCGUACUACGAUUUUUCCAGAACUUCAACAUCCAAAUUUUGAGUCAAUUUUCAAGAGAAUCAUAUGAUGGGCUUUAAUUUCUAAAGCGUUGGAAGGGAAAGCUACCUUAGAGUUAGAUGUGUGGGAAGUCACAGAUGCUAAAAUUACAUCUUGAAUUCUUAGUACUAUUGAUCUCCAUGUGAUCAAUAAUUUGUGUUCUUUUACAACUGCUAAAAAAUGUGAAACAACUGACGCUGCAGGUAUCCCCAUAUGUUGUAUUGCAGUUUCUCUUAUCGAGUGAAUUUACACAUUUCUCUCCAUUCAUCACUUAAACAAGAUAUUAAAUCGAACCCAUCAAAAUGCGGUACAAAGUUUAUGGUUGUGCACAAUAUAGGUCGCAUUGCUCCCAUAUAUCAAUUAUUACGACACAUAUAUAUACUCUUAAUUAUUACAAAACUAUUACACUGUCAUACCCAAACAACAACAACAAAAUCGAUGAAAUAACAAAAGCAGACUAGUAUAAUCCAAUAAUAACACAUUAAAUCCUUUCAUUUGCGCCGAACAGUAACAGGACUCCUUACAAUGUGUUUUCCAUUUGUCCAUCGCAGUUCCCCAAAUUGGUAUUUCCUCCUUGGAGUCACACUUGUUGCUUGCACAAUAACUUGAAAUGUCUUCUUUUCACCUAUUUUCUUGAAAUUCAAGGAACUAGGUACAACAGCAAUUUUAUAUCCAGCCAAUUGAACUUUAGCAAAAUAUGUACUUGGUGGCCCAACAUUAGUAACUGUGCGAGUGACAGUAACGGAAUUUAAUCCAAGAUUUGGUAAUGUGAUUGAAGGAUAAUUCAAGUCAUCUAUGCUACUAGUUCCUGAACAAGUAAAUGUCAUGUUGAAAUUAAGUGCUGAAAUGAGUUGUUGGUUGUAUCCAGAAGCACAUAAGAAGUUUAAGUAAUCUUUAAUCCCUAGAUCAUAAACAAGUCCUGGAUCCAUGGCACUGUUGGGUCGAAUAUGUCCUGAACCAUAAGCAAAUGGAUUUGCCAGUGUUUUAUCAAAUGCAUCGCUUAUAGGCUUGUUGGUGUUAUCUCUCGUGGUUGCUGCAAGCCAGCAUAUUUUGACUAGUAAGUAAUAAGUAAUCAUUUUAUAAAUUAAACUUAUUUAUAUAUGAGUGACAACGUGUCAAAAAUAAUAUAAAAAUAAUGCUACGCAUAGUGCUUUUUCCAGCCAGUGCUCCUUUUAUAGAGUAUGUGUGUGUGUGUGUUUGGUGCCACUUGAGAGAGAAAAUACCAGUGGUCAUUAUAGCCGAUUUAAUAGCUGCUGGACUCCAAUUAGGAUGAAGUGUUUUGAUUAAUCCAGCAGUGCCGGCAACAUGUGGACAAGACAUAGAAGUUCCUUGCAUUACAUUGAAUGGAAAACCUCGACGAGUGUCUGUUAUUAAAUUAGAUGCACUUGCAAACAAUGAAUAGGCAGCGAGUAUGUUCACACCUGGCGCAGUUACAUCAGGCUGAAACGAAAAAAUAAAAACAAUUCCAAUCAACACAAAUUACUAAGCAGUGUCAUUUAGCUAGUAGAUAAGAAAUCCAAGUGUAUGAUAAACACCUUGAGUAUUGAUGGUUGAACUUUAUUUGGUCCUCUAGAAGAGUAGGAAGCCAUAACUGGAGCUGGCUUUCUUCUAUUCAAAGUUUUUGCUGGUGACAUUCUUAGUUUAGUGCCUGACUUUAUAUCCCUGUAAAAUAAAAAUAGAUAUGAUUGUAUAAAAAUGGUGCUUUUCAUUUGUAACAUGUAUUUUAAUUAAUAAUGUCACAAUUUUUAAAAGCUUGUUACAAGAAAGGUAUGUAUAAUGAAUUAUUACGAGGGAAUUAUGUCCAAACUACGUCCUGUUGUUCUUGAAUGAUUUCCAGGAUAGCUGAUAGUAGACAAAACAUGAGGCUCUGAAAGAAGUGUUUUUCCAUUAAUUUCAGGUUGAUUUCUCAAAAUAACCCCCUUUGCACCUGCAGAUAAAGCUUCCUGACCCUCAGCAACUGAUUUUAUUUUCCCUUCUCGAUCGCAUGCCACUAUUUUACCAUUCACUUUUGAAGGAUCAAGUGUUCUUGGUCUACAAAAUCGACUGCAACAAUAUGUAUGUAAAAAUAUAUGUUAGAAACAGUCAUUAAGCAAAUGUUUUAUUGGAUUUUUAAGUCAUGUAAUUUUACAAUGUACUUUAAAGGAUGACCGUGUUGCUUUAAAAUGAAUUGAAAAGCAAAAUCGUUAACUUUAAAAAAUAGUUGACCAAAAUUACAAUAGACAAUGUUUUUAUCAGUACUGAAAUAAUGCUUUUGGAGUUUACACUUACGCAUCUCGAUUUGUUGCAUUGGCCAAUUUAGCAUCAGUAGAAGUCACUAUAGUAAAGUCCUGGUUAGGUGGCAAGUUUACAAAAAGACUGGCUCCCUUUUUAAUAUUAAAAAAUAAAAAAGAACACAAUUAAUUCCAAUCCUAUGAUAAUAACAACAAGAAUAAUUUGUCACAGAAAAAAACAAUAUUACGGAGAAAAUUAUCAGAAUAUUAAUUAAGGAUAAUACCGUGAGUGUUUUGUUACCAAUGGUCAUGACACUGCUGAAGUCUCUGUCUAAUGUACUAGCAGCAACAGUGAACACCCAUGGAGCAACAUUAACAACACUUCCAGGGGUAGGUCCUUCAUUUCCCGCAGAUGCAACUAAUAAUAUAUUUCUAGCAAGUGCAUGAAAUGCACCUAUUGAAAUCUCGUCAGUAAAAAUUUCUUCAGAAUUUGUACUAGAUGGGCCUCCAGCAGAAACAGAUAUUAUGUCAACACCAUCAUCAAUUGCUUGAUCAAUAGCAGAUAAUACAUCAGCACCAAAGCAACUAGUGGCAUCUGUUAGAGACCAGCACACUUUGUAG
rnacentral:lncRNA from 1 species